CCCCCCCCCCAUUUCCCCAUCUCCACCCCUGAACUUGGAGCCCUGGUUCCCCCUUCUACUCCCCAACCCUCCCACCAUCGCGAUGAAUCCUUAACCACCCCCCCUCUCUAUCACGGACUUCUUUUAUGCCGCACCUCUCCUUUUCUCACCCACCUUUUCUUGGCCCCGACUCCUUCAAUGGCCUUCCCCCUCCCUUCCUUACCGAAGUUUAUCCCUCUAUCCUCUUCAACAACCCCACCCUCCCCCCCAACCGCUCCAUACCAGGCUUUACUAUCCAUUUCAACCUCACCCUACCCAAACGGCUAAGUAUGCCCUCUUCAAACCCUUGCUCUGCACCCCUCUUUCAGUCCCACCCCAGUCUCCAUCUCCCACUCCCCCGACCCUGGGGCGUUCCUCCCCCCAAGAUGACCCCCGUGCCACAGUCAGUGCAACCCAAUCCCCAUGCCCCAGCCCAUCUGCAGAUGGUUAUACAUCUAAGACCUAUCCCACUUCUGAGUGAUCUAGUUUCAUCAAGGCACUGGAUAAUGCCCAAGGGGAUGUCAACAAAGUUAUGAAGGUUAUGAGCCCCCAGUGGCAGCACCCAAGAGGUCCUCAAAGCAUUCAUCUUCCAGAUGCCAACCGUCAACCCAAGAUUCUUUUUGAAGGCAAAAGAGCGCAAGCCAACCUGGCAUUUGGAAUUAACUAUGGCUCUGCUACAGACCUAUAUCAAGGGACCUCCUCAGUUCUCCCCCCCCCCCACACACACACACACUCACACCUAGCGGUCCUCCAGACAUGCACCCUCCCCCCGCCAUCCAUCAUGAAGAUUUUGACAUGAAACAUUAGGGGUUGGGCAAACCCCAGAAACGCAUAAACGUCCUCAACAAUAUUUCCUUACUCUCCUGCCAUCCUGGCUCUAAUAGAAGCUAAACUCCUUGCCCCAUGUCUCCCUCCUGUUUGUCGAGUCUGAGGGUCAAGACCUUGCCAUUGGAUGCCCAACGGGCCUUUGGAGGUAUCUAGGUUAUCUAGGAUCCAACCCUCCACAAUAUCACUUCUUCAACCGUAGGUGCCUUCUCAGUCUCCAUCUCCCUUGAGAGAGUGGCCGACGCCUUCCCUUGGAAAUUUACAGAUGUAUAUGGUCUCAAUGCUUCCUCUCUCAGACCCCAUUUCUAGGAGGAAUCGAAUAGGGAGGCUCUAGCUUCCCCCCAUUGUUGGUUUGGUGGGGAUUUCAACAUCACCCAAUGGUCAUUCGAGCGAAACUCCAAUUCCUUCAUAUCCCAAUCAAUGGCGGACUUUUUUGACCUCAUGUCGCGGUUAGAAUUACUCAACGUUCCACUUCAAGGGGCCUCUUUUACUUGGUCGGACCAUUCUGCCGACCCCACUCACUCUAAGUUGGAUAGGUACCUCAUUUCCUUGGAUUGGGAUGAUGCGUUCCUAAGGACCCAUUCACUCACCCUCCCCAAACCCAUGUCCAACCACUGCUCAAUCUUCCUCGACACCUUCCCUGCCCCUCGCACCUCCAAACCUUUCAGGUUUGAGUUGGCUUAGCUAGAGGAACAUAAUCUUCCCUACCUCAUUCACUUCUGGUGGACCUCUUUCUCAAACCAAAUCCAUAGUUGGGCAGGGUACCACCUCCAAAGAAAGCUUCAGCAGCUCAAGGGGUCCCUUAAAGCCUGGAGUGCUCAACUUUCGGGCAAUUUUUGCACCCCAAAAGCAUCCCUCCUCCACGAUAUUCAAUAGUGGGAUUCCACUGAGGAGCAUCGCCCUCUCUCUCGGCUGAUGAGAGAAUGGCUCGAUCCCUUGGCAAAGUUUGAGUUCCAACACUUGCUUAGGAAGGAGGAGAUAUACUGGUCACAGUUUUCCAGAGUUAAAUGGCUUAAACACGGUGAUCUCAACACUGAAUUUUUCCACAAAAUAGCCAACUAGAUGAGGGACAACAUCAUCACCCAGAUUAAAGUUGGGGAAGUAGUGCUCGACCAGGCACCUCAGGUUGAGAAUGCCAUUAUAGACUACUUUCAUAACCUUUUUGAGGCUUCCAGGGGGAGCUCAAGACCCACCAUGGCAGACCUGAUCGUUCAAACCAUUCCCCCAAACUUGGCAGCCUGGCUAGAACGCUUCUUCGACGAGGCCGAGAUCCUUAAGGCCAUCUUUGACCUUGGCCAAGAUAGAGAGGCCCAGGACCUGACGGCUUCACAGUAGUCCUAUUUAAAACCUUUUGGGACUCUUUUAGGGGGGAUUGCUUCGUCUUCUUCCAAGAAUUCCAUGCCAAAGGGAUCAUUAAUCGAGCAACAAAUUCUACUUUCAUCGCACUAUUUCACUAAAGAUAAAAGAGGCCAAAGAACUCAAAGACUUCAAGCUGAUUAGUCUCAUCAACAGCUCAUACAUAUACUCUCCAAAGUCAUCGUUUCAAGGCUGCACGAGGUUCUUGGCUGGGUGAUCUCUCACCCAGGGAGUUUUCAUUAAAGAUAGACAAAUCCUCGAUGGCACCUUUGUAGCAAAUGAGGCCAUCCAUUCUAGGCAUCUCGCCAAAUCCCCUGGUCUAAUCAUCAAGCUCGACUGGGAGAAAACCUACAACCAUGUAGACUGGUCCAUCCUAAACGAAACCCUUCUUCGUAUGUGAUUUGGGGCCCGGUGGAGGACCUGGAGUAGAGGCCCUUUCUCCAUUCUGAUGAACAGUUCUCCAAAAGGCUUCUUCCCCUCUAAGGGGCUCUGCCAAGGAGACCCCCUCUCCCCAUUCUUGUUCGCAAUUGAUGCUGAAAUCUUCAGCAGAUUGAUCUCGAGAAUGUACCAAGCCAGCGUGCUCAAAGGUUUCAAAAUCAGCCCUUCGGGUCCACCGACUUCCCACCUACAAUAUACCGAUGACACCCUGCUAUUUUGCAAAACCUCUGCCGAACAGCUAGAGUCCCUCCACCUCGUCCUCAAACUGUUCGAGAUGGGCAUGGGCCUAUCGGUGUGGCUAUGGACCCUUCUCUAGUUAGAACUCUAGCCUCUCAAUGGGGUUGCUCUUCCGAUGGGUUGCCUUCCUCUAUUUGGGCCUACCAUUAUGCCUUGGCAAACCUAGACUCAACCUUUGGAGCCACAUUAUAGAUAAAUUCGACUAAAGGUUGUUUGGAAAGGUAGAUUCCUAUCAUCGGCAGGUCAUCUUACCCUCAUCAAAACCACCCUCUCUAGCAUCCCUAUUUUUCAGAUGUCUAUUCCAUAUGCCGUCCUCGAUGGCCCAACUCAUGAGGAACUUCCUAUGGUCGAGCAAUGGGGGUAAGAAAAUCCAUCUUACUUCAUGGCUUAAUGUCUGCAAACCCAAGUCUCUAGGGGGCCUAACUCAAAGACAACAACCUAGCUCUUCUCAGAAAAUGGUGGUGGCACCUUGCCACUCAAAGCAACAACCUCUAGCAGGAAGUGAUCUAUUCUAAAUACCGCAGUUUAGACAUUUCUUGGGUGCCCUACCCCCACAGUAACUCCUCUAGAAUAUGGAAAUCCCUACUGUGCUCCUAUGACCACUUUCCGUCGAAGAUUAGAUACAGGCCUCGGCCUGGUGAUAAAACUCUCUUCUGGCUCGACCCUUGGUUGGACCAUCUUCCUCUGAAGGUACAAUACCACAAUCUUUUCCUACUGGCCUGAAACCCCAAUGCUACGGUGGAAUCUCAGUUUGAGAGGGUGGGCAACAGGAGGGUGUGGAGCCCCAACUUUAGAAGGCCGUUGACUGAUUCCGGAGUGAAGCUCUAUUUAAGCCUCUCUGCAACUCUAAAAUCAACCUUCUUUCCUUUUCCAAGGCCAAGAUAAUCUUCAUUUGGAACCCCAAUCACUCUGUAAGCUUCUCGGUGGCUUCCUUCUACUCAUCCUUAGCCCACCCCCAAACCCUAACCCUCAACCCCCCAGCCAUUCCCAUUGUGACCGAAGUUGGGCUUCCCUGGUUCCACCCAAAAUCCAGUUUUUCAGCUGGAUUGUUGCUUCCAAGAGAGCCCUCACAAUGAAUCUACUGCAAAGGAGGGGGAUCCAAAUCCCCAACAGGUGCAUCAUGUGUCUCAAGGAAGAGGAAAGCAACACCCACCUCUACAUCCAUUGCAAGUUGCCUCUUCCCUUUGGGCUGACCUCAUUCAACCCUUCCAUUGGCAGUGGGUAACCCCACCCAAUGUUCCCCAACUCUUUCUCAUAGCCUUCUCCCCUCCUUGACCGAAGGCUGGUAGACUGCUGUGGAGGGCCUCAGUGGCUGCCACCUUUUGGGUCAUUUGGAAUGAAAUUAACGCCAGAAUUUUCCGCAUCCAACGGUCUACUAUAGAGGUUUUGACACACAAUGAUUAAAUCUUCAAUCAUCUUCUGGGCCACCCACCGCUACCUUUUCAAAAACCUUUCCCACUCUGACUUUCUCCAUAGCUGGGUUGGGCUACCAUUUUGACCUUUAGACCCCACAGAAUACCUCGUUCAUUGUUUGAAGACCACCUGAUGAAGGCCAAAUCAAAUUAAAUUUCGAUGGGUGCACUUUCGGCAACCCUGACCAGCAGGUAUAGGAGGUCUAUUUCGCAACAAAGACAACACUACUCUAUUCUCCUUCUCUCUCUCGAUUGGGCAUGGGCAUUCAUAUUCUAUCACCGCAUAAGUACUAGCCCUUCGGGAAGGACUCAGGAAGUAUGAUCCUUCUUGGCGCCAAUCCCUCAGUAUCAAAGGCGACUCUUUCUGUGUUUCUCAUGGGCCUCAGGCUCAGACUCCUGGCCUUGGAGACUCAAUAAUAUUUUUGAAGAAAUUACAGCUCAAUGGGAUCUCCCAUAGCUCUUGGAGACACAAUUGGAGAGAAGCUAAUGGCGAACCGACACCCUCGCUAAGGCAGCUGCCUCACUUUCCCAAGCCAAUUUUCUUACCACGCAAGCAACCGUUUGAGCACACGUUCCCCCAUUCAGCUUUGGUUCUUACUAUUUUUUGUUGUUAAAAUGUCGUUGUAAAGCAUUUGUCCAGCUAACUGUGAAUUUUGAAUAGGGCACCUGCGUGUGGGUAGCCUGUAUUUUGGGCUGGAACCCGUUUGUGGGUGGCCAACCCCUUCGUUAUGUUUCUCCCUUUGUACUUACGUUUAUAGAGUUAACAUAUUAAAAAAAGAAAAAGAAAAAAGACUAAGUAUUUAAUGGAGCGAGCAGUUGACAAUCUAAGGCAUGGUCGUCAAAUCCUCGUCAUAACACAAUAAGGGUUAAAAAAUGCUACCCAUUUUUAUUAAGUACAAGUAUAGAAUAUGAUCAUUUACUUUUGGUGCAAAGAGAUUAUAAUUACCAUUAGCCGUUGGAUGUCAAAUCGGAUGGCAUGGAAACUACCAUUAAUGGGCGCAAAGUCCAAAAGAAAGUUUUUGGAGACCCAUGACAUACUCCAUGCUGUUGAAUUUCACACCUUACAGAAAGGUUUAAUUGUGAUCUCUUUGUAAUAUAGGUGAAUCCUCUUGUAGUAUACAGUCCCUUAUUUUCUGAAAAUAUAUUUUGUGGCAUGUUAGUAAGUUAUACAAGGCAUGCAGUGAAACUCUUAUUGCAUGACCAUUUGAAACCAAGCACCAAACAACAGACGGCCAAGGAACAAAAGAAACUGUCAAUCAGUUCAAAUAAGUAGACGGAAAAAACCAUACCCAGGAUGGCAGCAACAAAGGCACAGUUCUCGACAUGGUUGGGCGAGGUCAUUCUGCACUCGUCUAUCAUAACAAGUUAUAAAGCAUCCAGAUAACCUGAGAAAAAAGAAAAACAAUAAAGCCCCUGCAUCAAUGCAAGAAUCAAUAUAAAACAUUAUAUCAGAACCACCAAAGACGGGAGAGAAACAACGAGGCUAAAGAAUAAAAUGCCUCAAAAGCAGUCAAAGUUAGGAACUCUAGCAUCAAUGUCAUAUGCAACAUGCAAUCCUAUUUCUAGCACAUGUCAGCUCAUCAAGAAGGCCCUCGGAACCCAAGCCAAAGCCAGACAAAAUACGCAUCCAAAGCCAACAACAGAAGGGCAACGAGUCUUGAGGAGUUGCUAGCUGACUGUUUGAAACCUAAAUGCCAGAACGGCAUACAAAACCAUAAUUUAAAUAAACCAAAUAAUGAAUGGAACAAUGUGACUCACUAUGACUAGAUGGAUCUGAUUUGUUUUUUUUUUUGAGGAAGUAGAUGGAUCUGAUUUUCAUGGCAGAAUAUCAAAAAUAUUUAGUAUAGCAGUUGUGUUUCUUUGGCUGAAAUGGGUGGUGCCAAGGGACGUAGAUAGGAGGCAGUAGUACAAUAAAUAUACACCUGCAAUUACUUGAGAAAAGUGGUCGUUAUUAAGGGAAUAAACAGGCAAGGACUUGCGUAAAACUUAAGAUUUUUUGCCUAAAAUUUCAAUGAUCAUGGACUCAUGCACAAUGGCUUCCAUCACAGGAAUUAGGAAGAUCCAUUACAGUGACUUGGAGCGGAUCAUAAAACCAUCCAUAGACUUCACCAUCUACUAUGGGCCAUAACACCUAGGGCCCUUUUGGGUACCUGGAGAAGCCUGUCCUGAGGGCAGGCUUUUCCUGGAAUGGCUUCUCUUGGAAUUGGCUUGUCCCUCGAAUAGGGGUGUCUGCUGUUUGGAUAGCACCUAAUAGGAAACAUGGAAUAUGCCUGUCCACUGUUUGGAUUGCCUAAAAGAUGUGAAUCCAUGGAAAUUCAGUUGCAGUUUUACUUUUUUUACCCUACAUUUAAUUUUAUACAAAUUAACUUCUCACAUUCAUUACAAACUUCGAUAUUAUUUUUACCCUACUAGAAUACAUUUUUUGAAAAUUAUUUGACAUAGCAAAUGUAUAAUACAACCCUAAAGACAUCAUCAUCUCCAUUUAUAGGCACAUCACUAAACAAAUCACUAAAGACAGACAAAGAACUUGUCCCCAUAUCAUCACAAAGCACACCGAGGCCUUCAAACGCCAAAGCAAGAGAAUGCCAAGACGACACUUCCUGUGAUGUAAUAGGAACAUAAGGGACACACAUAUAAGAGUAUGUAUCUGUAACCAAUUUUCUUAUAUAAAAGGUAUGCACAAGCUCAAGCAAAUGAAGUAGGUUCAAGCAACUGAACAAAUAAUUUAGUGCAUAAUAAGUUCGCAGCCUUGUAAAAACCAACUGACUCAAAAGCUAUACAUAUGUCCAGCUUCCAGUAGACAUAUUAUGGCCUUCUUAGGUAUGUUGGGUCCGUUUGAAAGUACGUAACUCCUCAUCUCAAAGUUUUGCUUGCCUACAUAAAAUGUGUUGAAAGGCUGUUUCUACUUUUUUUUACCAUGGAUUUUCUUUAGAUUCAUCAUCAGAUUACUUUGUACUACACUUUAUUUCAUGUUUCACUGCCAGUCCUCAAUGGUUCUUCCCUAAAUUGCCUGUGUUCAAAGGAAAAGCAAAAGUAACAGUUGCAGAGAGAAGCAAGCUGUCUCAGCGGUCUGUAAUUUAGGGCUUCACCAAAAAGAGCUUCGUCGCAAAGAGAGAGACUUGCAGAGAGGAGCAAGCUUUCGUCUUUUUAAGGGCUUCUCUGUAAUUUAGAGCUUCGUCACAGAGAGAGAUUUUAGGGCUUCCUGGAUUCUCUGUGAUUUAGGUCUUCUCUGGUGAUUUAGGGCUUCUCAAGGGAUUCUCUGUGAGGGCUUCGUCACAGGGUAUGGCUUUUGUUUUGGGCAGCAGACCUUAAAGAGGUCUUGAUAAAAUUACAUUGGAGCGUAAAAUUACGAGCGGAAAACAUGGAUAGGGUAAUUCGUGGGACUAUGUAAUCCACACCAUAUGUGCUACCCAAACGGUGGAAAAGGCCCGAAAUGUUGGGUAACCUUCUUCCAGAGAGCCCAAUCCAGGUUGCCAAACAGGCCCUUACGGUAGUUUCAGUAUUCUUCAUGGCAUCCUCAACUUUGACCUUCACUUCCUGUGUGUGAGUUUUUGUGUGCAUGUGCAUGCGCAUGCAUGUGCGUGCCUGUCAUAUAAUAUUUUGAUUAAAUUCAAUCAACUGGCUAUGGGAAUAAUGACUAACAAUCAAAAAACAAAUCAUGACUCACAAAGAGAAUUUAUAGAGAAAAAAAAACAGUGUGUUGACCCAUAUCUUGAGCUUAGAAUGGAAGGAAACAUCACACCAAAUAUUACAGAUCUUAAAAUACUAAAGAAUAGUCACAAGCAGAACAUUUGUUUCCACUAUAGGGCACCAGAAAAAUGAAAUAUGCUGAUACGAAGUUGUACUGAACGAAAGACAAACAUUAAUGAGGUACUAAUAACUGAUAACCAACAUAAGCAUGCAUAUGGAUGGAAGUUCAGUAACUGCCACAAACAAGCAAUUAGGAACUUAAAUCACUUUUUUACUAUAGGGCACCAGAAAGAUGAAAUACUUUGAUAGGAAGAUGUACAAAUGUUAAUGAGGUAAGCAUGCAUAUAGAAGUUCAGUAACAGCCACAAACUAGCAAAUAGGAACUUAAAUCACUUCAGCUUCAAUAGUGUUGAAAAUAUCCUCCCUUUAUGAAAAAUGCAUCAUGCAUUUGCAUACUAGAAGCACGAACUAUGCCAACAAAAGGGUGGCCUGAUGUACAAUCAAAUAUUAAGAGAGUAUAAUUUAGAUUGGGUUUCCAAAAAUUACCGCAUUUAUAGUAAAAACCAACUUUACUAUCAAAACCCCAGGCCAACCGUAGACAAUCGUUCUGAUAAUUGUCAAUUAAAUACACCAAGUAAGCCAAUGAAGCAAUUACCUGCAAGUAACAAUACAAGAAUGAAUUGCAUCAGAUAGAACCCAAUUUAAAUUUGAAAACUUGAGGCAACUACCUUUUGUUGACAGCAAACAAACAUCAAAAAGGAGCAAAAAAUAAAAAAGAGCAAGAUUCGUAUAGUAUCCAGACUCUCUAGCAAACUUGGAUAAUUGAGCCCAAUAAAAUAUCACUCCUUCAACAAAGAAAUCAUUGUAUUACUCCGAGUUUGAACCAUUGAUUUCUUUCAAGCAAACCAGAUGCUUGCCACUACCAAAGCCCAAGGGACAAUGACAAUGCGUGUAAUCACAUAUAAGUUAUGCUUGAAUGGAAUGGUAUACAUGAGAUGAAAGGUACCUUAACCAUUAAACAAAUUAUAUCUGAUUAAUAUCAUAUCUGAUUUGUAGCAUCGUGAAUUAGUGACUCACAGUAUAAAGCAUACCUAAAAGCAAAUGCCCUGAAGUCUCCAAACACUUUCUCAUGAAUAAUGGUUUUUGAGAGCAUUGAUUUAAAUCAAAAAGCUUGAAAUAUCGUCAAAGUGGUCUAAGUCAAACCUUGAUUUAUAGGGUAAUAUCUCCUCAGGAUACAUCAAAAUCAACAAAAGGUUGCAAGGGGCCCUACAGCAUUCUGUUGCAAUAUUCCUAUCUUCGUAGGUUUCAGAGCUAUUAAGCAUCUUUCCGCCAAUGAGAGGUUCACCAACCCAACUUCCAAAAAAAAUUUUAUUGAAGCAAGAGAGUGUUGACUGUGCAAUUCAUCCAUAGGUUUCAAAACGUAACUAAAUUUUAAAAAACCAUUCAAAGCAAAGAAUCAAUAACUUUCAAGUUCAGCAAAAAGAAACAUUACAUCACGAUUAACAAAAAAGCAAAACUUCAAUGUUCGCCACUUUCUAUCAGCAGGAACAUGCACUCUCAAGUGGUAAGGAGACUUGCAAGUUGUACAAUGAGCAAAAGCAAAUCCUUCCUGCAGGAAAUAAGACCAUAAAGAUCAACUCAGGUUAUUAAAAUCACAUCUCCAGCACAUUCGAUUAAAAGAAAUCAUGAGAAAAAGCUAAAAAUUAAACAUAAGAAGAAAAGAGAAGGGGACGCAACAAAGCAAGAAAUGUCAACAGUGUGCCCAAGCCCGCACACACAUUAAUGAAUUAGACUCGACACAACUUGAAUCCAUAUUCUACACACACUUGCACACACAUGCAAGUGCACACGCACAAACAAUUAGGUGUAUAGGUGCGUGUAGAAAUGAUGAUGUGCUCCUCCAAAGGCACACCUGUUGGUGCUACCCCACCUCAUAAACCAUAUUUGAGGUGUGUGAAGAACCCAAGAAUGACAAACAUGAAGCAACACAUGAUUUUGAGUCCAAAUCUAUAGCCUGUUAAUGGAAGAUUCAACAAGUAAGAAAUUUUAAGUAAAACUUAACUAAUUAAAGCCCUACAUAACAACCUAAGCUAAAAUACACCUCCAUUAUGAAAGCAUAUCCCCUGAGAAAGAAUUAAGCCUUGAAUUUUAUCUAACUAAAAUAAAAAAGUAAGCAAAUGAAAUUAUUGUACAAUAUAUGGAAAUACAUGCGAUAUGCAUGGGCUUGCACAUACCUUUUAUGGCUCGCCAAUGAUCCAAGCACUCACGAUGGACAUACUUGGAAGUUCCUUUGCACUUACAUGGGGCGAUGAAAUCUCUUCCUGGAGAAAAAAAUGCCAUGUGUUUUAAACAUCUUCAGAGGAGUAAUGAAAUAUGCAUAAACAGGCUCUUUUUUCAUUAUGAUGUGCACAUCCUUCCAUUCCAUCAUAUAGGAUAAAGUCAAAGAACACGUAAAGUUAAAAUGCAUCCACCUUCCCUAAAACAGGAGAAAAUGAUUAGAUCAUGGAGAAAAGCGCUCUGCAAACCUUGUAAACAUCAUCGCCCAACAGUUACAACAAUAGACCAACAUGGUAAUAAGUCCUCACUCACUGGCCAAAUGAAGGUAUACUUCUAAGCAAAGAGACUAGCAUCCAUUGGAGAAGUAGAAAAAUAAGUGAUGUAGGGAAAAAUAACAAUAACAAAUAAUAAAUAAUACAAAUAAAAAGUUCAGAGAUUAGACCCACUCUCUAGGUCUGUAAGGGAGCCCAUCCCAAGAUUUUUCCAGAAGAUCUAACUCUUUCUUUAUUCUCCGAUCACUAUCUUUACAAAAAAUGGACUUCUUCCUUUUUAAAUACAAACUAAAAAGAAUAAUAAUAAAAAAUAAUAAAUUAAACUCCAUCUCUCCCUUAUCUCUUAAAAACAAGUUUAACAUAUCUUAACCAACCAAACAUGCUAAUCCCUACCUAUAUCCAUCUUUUUAAAAAUAAAAAUGAAAAAUAAACUUUCAAUUUUACCCCUUAAAUAUCUACAACUAAAAAAGAUAAGAAUAACACUAAAGAAAACUAAAAAUUCAAAUAACAUAUUUUCUAAGUCCUAAAAAAUAUGAAUAUAAAAGUAUUAAAAAAUUAUAUUUUAUUUGCUUCAUUCUCCUAUACAAUGGCAGCCUGAUAAGCAAAGGGGAAGAAGUGAUAUGAGCUUUCUUUAUACAAAUGAGGCAACCAUCAGUAAAAAGGGGGACUGCCUUGUCGAAGGUUGGGAUAUUGUGGAGCAUCCAACGCUUCCGCCACGCCCCUCUGAGUCUGAAGAUGUUGAGCAUUGGACCAGAGCAAUGUUUAUUGAUGCCACUAAAAGGUAAAUGUUCCCCUUUUCUUUUGCUUUAUCAUGACACAAUUGGUGUUUCAUGAAAUGUAAAAAGUGUACGAUGUAAUGAAAAUAGCAGAUAUGGAUAUAAUUGUUUGGCCACUCCUUUUGCUUGUAAUGAAAUGUGUGUUACAAUAUGCAAAAUUAGACAGCGACGGAGUGAAUGGGGUCCGGCUGGCAUAGCUGAACAUGAGCAAGCAUUUCUAAUUGGAUCAUGUUACAGGGGAAUGAGGUUUUUUUCUUCUUUUUUUUCUUUCUUCCCCCCCCCCCCUCCUUUUUUUUCUUUAUUCUUUUCACUGUUUUUACUAUUUGAUUGAGCAAAUUCAAGUAGCUUGUGUACAGUGGCAUUUAGCUGAUAGAAAGCAAUACCUUUGGAAUGUAAGUUUCAAGCAGUGACAUUGAUUACCUGGUACCCAUUUCCUGAAAAACAGAUCAAUCAAAUUUCUUAGCAAUGGCAAUUAUUUCCAUUUUCCCAAGAAAGAAACCAUUAAAAAGUGUUUCUCACUUAUUAUAACUGUGAUUUAUAAGUGGGUUAUGCACAAUAUUAUGAUGUAGAAACCUUGGUUGAAAUUAUUUCGAGAAAACUUCAUAAUCAAUGGCAUAAAGCUUCAUAAUCUAUGGUAUGCUCUAGUUCUUAUGGUAAACUGUGUCCGGUGGUCCUAAAUAUUCGUUGAUUUGAAAAAGAACACUUUCCCUUUGAGUUCUAAUUGCUAAUUAAUUUGUAUUUGGGAACUUUUUUGUCAUUUAGUAAGGUAUCUAAUAACUAAUGAAAAAGGUUUAUAUAUCUAAGGGAUUAUAUAUUAUAAGACCAUUUACUUUAGGUCCAAAGAGGUCACAAUCAUUUUGAACCAUUGGAUGUGCAAUUAGAUUGUAAUGUGUCACAACAUUCGAGAAUAUUAUUUCAAAGUUUGUGCGUGCGUAGUCAAUGACACAUCUCAACUCGUUUGAUUUCACCUUUUAACAGUUAAUAAUGAUUAUGACCUCUUUAUAUCAAAUGUAAAUGAUCUUAUUGAAUGUAUCUUUUAAUAUGUCAUGUGCCAAAGAUAAAUAAAAAAGAAUACUUUGGGAUCAAAAUUUUGAGGGUGUACUCCACUGAUAAUAGCAAUCAAAAAGAAAAAGCUGAAUUCACCUUCCAAACUUGUAGUACUUUCUUAAAAAAGUCCUAUUGAAUAUGAACAUCCAGUUUUGGGAUGGUUAGAUUUAGGUGUUUAAGAAUUUAACAAUCAUGUUAUUUUGUUAUUCAUUUGGUGAAAUCAGAUCAAAUAACUGUAAAAUCUAACAGAAGCAAUGCUAUACACGCCCAAAAGUAAAGUUGGAUUCAGGAGAUAAGGAUUAAUACAUUGUUGGUAGAUUUUGAAGCAUUCCGUUAGCAAUAGAAGCCUGAUGGGUUAACUUAAGAUCUAUUCUGACCCUUCAUGCUACAACUUAAAUAAGGAUUAAGUUUCUAUAAAGGCUUUAUGAAAACAAAAUAAAGCCUCUUGUCAAGUCCUCAUCUAGAAUUCAUGAUGGAUCUAAAAUCAAUUUUCAACUACAAUAAAAGUUGAAAUUCAAAUAAUGGUACAGAUUUUGUGGAUCUAUGAAUACUUAUUUUUACGGUGAAAUAGAUGGUCUAGAUAAUUUGUUACAAUAUAAACCUUUUUUAGAGCUUAAAACUCUUUUUUUUUUGUCACAACUAUAAUGUUCAAGUCAAGAUAAUUGAUGUAAAAGUUUUCCAAUGCUAAGUUGUAAGUUUCGAUGAGUCAUGAGGCAAGGCUUCACUUAUUUUAAAUUUUUGAGAGAGAGAGAUCUCUCCCUCUGUAUAAGGGAGGGAUGUUUGCAAAUAUCCAAAGUCUUUGAUGUCAACUAUAUGUGAAGCAUAUUAACUUAUUGAUUUAAGCAGUUCAAUUUAAAUCAGUAGAUAUGAUGGCUAUACCCAUUAUAAGAAAAAGUAUACAAUGAAACCAUUUAUAUUUAAUACAAGAUGGUCAUAAUUGAUAUGACAUUUGGAUGUGAAAUUGGGUGGCUGCAUUUAUUUCAUUGAUCAAGUUCAAAGUUUAAAAGAAAUCUUCUCAAACUUUGUGACUCAUCCAAAUAAUCAAAUUUUACAAGAAAUCUUUUCAAACUGUGUGAUUUACCCAAAUAAUCAAAUUUCAUAAUAGAGGGUUAUAAGCAAUUGUAACCACCUUAUGCCAAAGAUAAAUAGUUUCAUUGUAUACAAACCAAUUAAAUUUCACAUUAAAGGGUUAUAAGCCAUUAUGACAUCUUUAUGUCAAAAAUAAAUGAUCGCAUUGUAUACAAACUCUAAUCAUAAUGUCACAAGUUAUCCUCUAACCCUAAUCAUAAUGUCACAAAGUUAUCCUCUAGUGUGUGAUCGAAGAUUUAGAAGUAUGUCAUAUUUGAUUUUUAUUAUUUUAUAAAAAAGUUUGACAACAAAUAUGACGCUUGAUUACUUGAUGUCAAGCAUGUCAACCAUAUAUGAAGCAUAUUCAAUUAUUAGUUUCAGCCGUUCGAUUUAAAUCGGUAGUUAGGAUAGCUUUAAAAAUAAGAUCAAAAGUUAGCCUCUAAAUGUUUGACUUUAAUCGAAGGAUUUAGAAUUAUGUCAUAUUUGAUUUUAUUAUUUUAUAAAAAAAUUUGACAUCAAAUAUGAGGCUUAAUUGUCACGAGAGUGUACCUAAUGCAAAUAACAAAAAUAUUUCUCAUAAGAAUAAAUGACUAAAAUACCUUCUUAACUUGCUCGGUAUUUUGAUUAUUUUAUUCUUAUCGAAAAUAAGAUUUUUUUAUUUUUAUUAAGUGUGCCUCCUUGAAGAUAUUUGAGCAUCGAAACAACCUCUUCUGAUGAAUUUUUUUAUGUGCCCCUUAAUUUGAUUGUUUAAGCCCCUCAUAUAAUAUAGGAGCAAAUAACCUCAAAAGAAAAAAAAUAUUUAACUUGCACUCUAAAAUUCGACGUUUCAAGAUUGCACAAGAAUAAUCCAACUUUUGGAAGAAAAGCUCUAGAUGUUCAAUAACUCAAAAUUCAUGUGUUUUCCGUUGAAACUAAUUAUUCAGUUAUAUUUAGAGAGAAUAAAAUAACACGAUUUCUAUGAGUCCAUGUAGAAAACUUCUUAAAAAUCUAUUUUUAACACAUAUUUUUUGACCUAAUUUUUAGCGGCAUGUAAUAUCUAAUAUGGAGAUCAGGAAUAUAAAUACAGUAAACCUUCCGAACACUUGACAGUUAUAAUGAAUAGUAAAAUAGGUGGAAUCUCAACCGUCAAAUCUUUAUCGAGUAGUUCAAAAUACAUAACACUAUUUUAAUAUUAAUUUUUUCUAUAAAUCUGAUUAAAAUGACAUUUUGAGUGUAUAUACCUAACUUUAUUGCGCACCAUAUAAAAAUAUAAAAAAAUUAUUUGAAGUAAUUUAAAAUUAUUAAUUUACCGCCAUUAUUUUUAGGGAUAUUUAAAUCAUUUUAUAUUUAAAAAAUAUAUUUUAUAUAUUUUUUAAUUGUGCGUCUAUUUUUUAGUACACACGUUUAAAAUUUCAUUAUAAUUUAAUUUUUAGAAAAAAUAUUAAAAUUCAUAUGAUGAUAUGUUUUUUUAGCCACAUGAUGAAGAUCUGACGGUUGAGAUUCCACCUAUAUUACUAUUCAUUAUAACUCUCGAUGUUCGUUAGAUUUUCCCAUAUAAAUAAGUAAAUAUAUUUUAAAAUUAAAAAUAAUAAAAAAACAUCUUAGUUUCAAUUAUUUUUAGAUAAACCACCUAUUACCCGGAUGCUUUAUACUUUGGGGACCACAAAUGUAGAAAUGCGGUCCUGCCGCAUGAAGCAAUUUUCCAUAAAUGCUCCCAAGCAGCUAUUUUGUCUGAUGGAGUUCUUUUCCAGUGUGCGCCCGCACGAACAUGCUCUACGGACUGCAUUUUACUCCUUUUCUAGGGUUCGAGCGUGUACGAGCAAAGGAGAGAGAGAGAGAUUUGUGUACCUGUUGGGUUUAGAGAGAAAGUGCGCAUUUUGGAGAGAGAGAGAGAGGGAGGGAAAAAUAGCAUUUGUGUCUGUUGGGAUUACACAGACCUGCUGUUUUGCUCUCUUUUUGAAUGUUUUGGGAUUUUUUCCCCUCGCAAAGUAUCAGCUUUUAAAACCCAUUUUCUCUAUUUGGAGGUUUCUGAUUAUUUUGCAGAAGAUGAAGCAGCUGGAUCUACCAUUCUAAGUAAAAGAGGUAUUUUUGCUCUCCUCUUUACAUUACCAUGCCUGGUUUUUCUGUUGUUCUUUAUGUGCCCGUUGUUGGUUGAAUGAUGAUGCUCCCAACCCUCAGAAAAAGCUUGGCUUUGGCAAAACCCCAUUCUCUCUAUAAGCCUCAAUUCCUCUUUUCCCUUCCCUUCUCUAUUUCUUCAUCUCUCUCUUUCAAUGAUUAUUCUUCUUCUCUCUCUCUUCCCCGUUUCACUUCUUCCUCCACCUCUGCUUCUCUUCCUUCCAUUGUUACUCUUCUCAUGGACUAUGUUGGCCUCUCAAUGGAAUCAGCCAUGAAUGCAUCUUCGUGUCUUCUCCACCUUAAAACCACUGAAAAACCCCUCUCUGUAAUAAACUUCCUAAAAAACUCUGAUUUCAGUGAUACCCAUAUCCAAACUAUCAUCUGUAAACGUCCCCAGCUUCUUAAAGCCAAUGUGGAGAAAACCCUCAAACCCAAAUUCAGAGCGUUCCAUGAUUUGGGUCUUUUGGGGUGCGAUCUCGGACACAUCAUCUCUGCAGAUCCAGUCAUUCUUACAAAGAGCACUGAGAAACAAAUUCUCCCAAAAAUUGAGUUCCUCAAGAACUAUUUGCACACCAAUGAGAAGGUUGUGAGAGCUCUCAAGAAAUCUAGUUGGAUUCUGAUAUUUGAUAUUCAGAAGAGACUAGUACCCAACAUAAGGUUAUUGGAGAGCUAUGGAGUUGACGACUCACAGUUACAUAAAUUUCUUUUAAGACAGCCCAGAUUCUUUACUAUAGAACCAAAACGAAUUAAGGAAAUUGCAGAGAGGGUGAAGGAAAUGGGUUUCGACCCUAAUUCGAGGUUGUUUUCUCAUGCGAUUUUUGCAAUGAGUUGUCUGAGCAGGGAGACAUGGCAGGGCAAAGUUGAGUUGUGUAAGAAUUUUGGGUGGUCCGAAGAGGAUGUUAUGUGUGCAUUUCGAAGGUUUCCAUAUUUAUUCACGUUGUCUGAGAAGAAAUUGAAGAUGGGUAUGGAUUAUUUCAUUAAUGUAUUAAAAUUAGACAAGUUUUAUCUUGUUUCGCAUCCUGUGCUUUUCUCCCAUAGUUUAGAGGGAAGGGUUAUCCCCAGGCACCGAGUCUUGCAAGCUUUGAGAUCGAAGAAUUUGCUCAAGAAGGAUGUCGAAUUCACGUCGUUUUGCAAAAGAGCAGAAAAUGUAUUUUUGCAAAGAUAUGUGUUGAGUUUUGAGAAUGAGGCUGAAUACUUGUUGGGGGUUUAUAAGGGGAUCACUGAAAAUUGAGGGCUUCUUUGGCUUUGUUAAUAUCAUGGUUUUGCCACAGCAUUCUUCACCAUCAAAGAUGGAAACGAAUAUUUCAAAAGUAAAAGAUCAGUCCACAUUAAUGGUGAAUUGGGGGCCUUGGUCUUAAAGAUUAAAAGAAUGGGGAGCUUAGUCUUGCAAAAGGUGCUUAGAAGAUAGUUUUUAGCUCAAUUUUGGUGCAUUAUAUGCAUACAUAGGUGGCAAAUAGCUAAGGAUCUUUCACAUUGAGGCCCUUUCAUCUGAUGCACAUGAUGAAGAAGAGUGCUUUGGCCCUGCUUGCCUUCUCCUUGGCACUGGGGCAUUUCGAUACCGAAAUUUUGCAUGCUGGGAAAAUGGCGGAAAAACACUCAAAAGCUUGCCUUCUUUUUUUUUGUUUUUUUUUCAGCUUUUUUGUUGUGGGUGGGGUUGGGGCGCUUUGCUUUUUCGUUAUACUAUUGUACUUUGAAGCCCAAAUUCGUUUACAGUAGGAUUUUUUGCUCUUUCUGCUUACCCUGGGAAAUAGAGGGUGACUCUCAUUAAGUGAGCUAGAUGAGACUCGAACCAUAUGGUGGUUUGCGAGUAUAUUACUAUAGUGUUAGGAUGUGUUUCCCUCAACCCAUCAUCCUUUCCCGCGACUUUUUGUGGCCACCGAAACGGUGGUCUCUGGAUAAAGGAAGGGCAUCUCAUGUUACUAUCGUUUUAGGUGAGUAACUUCUUUUUGUCUCGGUUGCUUUGUAAUCUGAUUUACUUUACUUGUUUAGUUUUAGGUGAGUAACUUCUAUUUGUCUCGGUUGCUUUGUAAUCUUAUUUACUUUACUUGUUUACGUUGUCUGAUUAUUUCAGUGUUUUCUGCUGUGUUUUAUUUAAUGGAAUCUUAUCAUCAAUCAAGUAAAAGAAAAAAGGAGGUUUUGCCUUUUAUAAUAGUAAAUCAGGUUUUAGGACACUUUUAUGGAUAAGAGUAUGUAAAAUAUGAAAUCCACGGCCAGGUCGGAUUAAGCUGUUGGGUUGGGGUUGAGAUCAUGAUUGCAUGAGAACAUCCUCUACAUGGAAAUCUUGGUGCAUUUUCUACAGAGAUGAGGACAUUUUCUUGUGGUUUCUGGGUGGGGUAUUGUAUAUCCGAAUUAUGACUACUACCUUCUUUCUGAACCCUUGAACAUUUUCUUUUGUUUUCUUUUGGGGACAAUUUCUUGUGGUUUCUGCAGAGGGAUUGUACCUCUGUAUUAUGACCUCCACCUUUUUUCAAAGCUGCAUAGGAAAGUUACAACAGUUGCACCCCAUUUCUUCAUCAUCUAACCACACUGAUCAGUGAAAUUUUUCAUGGAGCAGCUUUAUAAACAGUUCUGAGUAAAUACAGCUUCAAAAAAACAGUACUUAUAGCCCAUCUUUAAGUAGCCACACCUGUGAUGAAAGUUCCUCUAUUUGUAGGGAGAGUUCAGUUACCACUUUUCGGAACCUAAUUUCUAGUAUUGAGAACUAGUGAUAAACUACAGGAAUUCAAGAAACUAUAAUUGUUGAUUAUGCUUCAUGUACCAUAAUAAACUGAGUCAGGCAUGUAAUAAACUGAGAACCUAAGAAUCAAUGUUUGAAACUUGGCAAUCUGGAUCUGGAAUUGGCAAUCCUGAUUGGUUUCAAUGGGUGGUCAAUCAGGGUCCCCUCCCCCAAAAUGGCCCCAAUUUUAUUUUUCAUUAGUUUAAACUGGUUUGACAAUUUGGAUUGAUCGGCCUAUCCAGAUCGGUGGAUGAUCCAAAACACUAUGCUGCAUUUUGAAGGUUAUGUUACAUGGAUUAUGGGUGAUCCAAAACACAAUUCCUCUUUUCCCUUCUCAUGGAUUAUGUUGCACGUGCAUUUCGAAGGUUUCCAAAUUUGUUUUUGUCAAAGAAGUUGCAGAGGGUCAUGGAAUAUUUCACUAACGAAAUUAAGUUUGGUAAGCUCAUAUUUCACUAAGAAAAUUAUGUUUUACAAGACCAUUUGAUGUGUAAUCCUCGACCUUUUGGGAUUAGUUUGGAGGGAAGGGUGAUCUUUAGGCACAGACACCACAACCUUUGAGAUCCAAAAAUUGGUCAAAGGGAUGCAGCUAUGGUAUCAGUUUGCAAACAAAUAGAAGAUGUUUUUGCAGAAGUUUGCGUACGAUUUUGGGAAUUUACAGGGGAAUUUGCGAAAAGAUGAGAGAAAGUAGACUUAGAUGGGCUGGUCUUGUGUGGCUCAAACCUAAUACAAUACCGAUUAGGAGGUGUAAGUUAAUUCAAGUGGAAAGUUUAAAAAGGGCAAGGAUAGGCCCAAAAGGAUAUGGUUGGAGGUAGUGAGAAGAUAUGUGGACUUAUGAGCUCACUAAAGGUAUGGUCUUUAAUAGAGCCUAAUGACGAACCAGGAUUCGUAUAGUCGAUCUUAAGUAGUUGGAAAAAAGCUUUGACGAUAAUGAUAGGGAAAUCCCCAAAAUAUUGGAUGGGUCUUAACUUUCAAAAUUUGAGAUCCAUUCUUGUUUCCAUUGCUCUAAACUUUCUAAUGUUUCCUUCUUCCUUCUAGCUAGUUCUAAUGGGGCUUUGUAUUUCUUCCACUCAAUGAAUGACUUCUAUUACUUUGUAUGUAAGACUAAUUGAUAUGUUAUGUUGAAUGGGUUUUGUGGGUUAGGUCCGGGUCCAUUGCCACCCCUGAUUUAAAAUGACAUGCAGAAUGGCUUCAUUUUUCCAGUUGUUUUUUAAGACAAGGAGAGAAGAUCAUUUGGGGUUUAUGAUUUGAUAACACCAUGGGAAUAGACGUGCUCCAUCUCAUGUCCGGGCGGCGCCUCUUAGAUUGGUGCAUUGCGAUUAUGCUUUGGAGGUCUCUUGCUUGAAGCCUGAAUAUCCAAAAUUCCUAAUUUGCUCUUGGUGGAUUUUGAUGGUUGAUAUCAAGAAGAGAUUACUGCUCAAUAUAAGGUUAAUAAUGAAUGCACUCGAAGAAAUCCGGUGUGAUGGGAAUGAAGUUAUUGUUUCGUGGUGUAUCAUUUCUAUUUAUUGUUAAUGGAAGGUUGUUAUCUAUUGGGAAAAUAAAGAGAUUCAUCAUUAUCAUCAUCGGAGCCUCAUCUCAACUAUUUAGGAGAAUCUUGUUUCGCUAUUCCGCUCUAUCAAAAAUCAUAUCUUCAUUGAGAUUAUAAGUUACCAUUUCUCUUUUCAUUAUUUUAAUCUAUGCAUUUUCAUUGCCUUUUUAGAGUCUUCCUCUUGAAUCAAAUCGCUCCUUCUAACUGGUGUUAAGUUAGAUCGACGCUAUACAUAGCCAAACUAUUAAGUCUAUUUUUCCUCUUCUUAUUACAUAUUGGAGCCACAGCUGAAUUUUCUUGGAUCUUAUUGCACACUGUGUUUUGUACUCUUGUGGAAUAUGUCCCCUUCCUUAGCAAAUUUCCAACCAGUUCAAAUACUAUAGAUUCACGAAAUCUUCCAUUUCUCAUGGAAUGCGCCUAAAUUUACGAGUUGAGAGAGUUUCAAGUCUAGAAAGCUUAUGGUCUAGUGAAGUCUAGAGGGGUACCAUGCUCCCAAAUUAUAGCCCCUGCCUGUUGGUUGAAUCUUGAAUAUCAUUUAGUGCUUCAUGGUUGUGUUGUCUCUUCUGAUAAGUUGUGCUCCAUGGUUUUGCUGGCCUUGAGUGUUCGUAAAACCGGCCGGUUAGAUCUGAACCGUUAGGGUUCGGACUCCGGUUAAAGCUGGUUUUGGUGUUCUAACUUGUAUAUGAAAUACCCCAAAAAAUAUCCUGUCCAAAAUUCGUCGAUAUCUAGUCGAACAGGCCAUUUUUAUAUUAAACCUACCGGUUGUUUGGCAAACCGGAUCGGUUAGUUUAAAAAAUGGUUUGUAACAUAAUAUAAUGGAGAAAUAACGUAUAAUGUCUGUUAUUUUUUAUAGGGGUUUUAUUUGAUGCAGAAGUCACAUGUUUCUCUUGAUUGAACAUUUGAUUCCAUUUUCCAUGCAUUUUCAGCCUUAUACAAACGUUUGUAGCUAAUAAUUGAUCGAAAUUUUUUCUUUUCGCCUAUAAAUCAAUCAAUUUGAGAUCAAAAUGGCAUCGAAAUUCCACUUUCUUGGCUGUCAUUUGGGUAUGCUUCAAAGUUUUGCGAGAAAUCUGCCAAUCUAAAGAUUUUGGCCUCUUUUUUUAAUUUUUCUACAUCAAAAAGGAGGGAUUUUGUUGAUGACAGACAUAUCAGCACUACUACACUCCUUAUUUGAUCGAAAUCUAGAUAUUUCGAGCUCGAUUUGAGAAUAGGACUUCGGUUAGAAGAAAACAAUGCAAGUUUUAUCCUGAAUUUUUUUUACUUUUUGUCCUACUUUUUCUCCCUCUUUUAGUAUUUUUCAGACAAUAUUUUACUAAAGUUAUUGAUUGCAUCCAAUAAAUAAACAUAUUUGAGGAUAAAUACUCAACGAAAAUCUAUUUUUUUUGUCUUUUUUUUUUUGUGUUCUUCAAUGUUUCAGCAAAAAUCCGACAAACUACAGAUUGUGGCAUUGUUUUUUUAUCGUUUCUCGAUCAAAAUAGGGGGCUUUUGUGGAUGACAGAGAUGUUCAGAUUAUUGAACUCCUAAUUUCAUCGAAAAUCAGAUAUUUGGGGCUCGAUUUUAGGGGUUUUUGAUAAAUUGGUUUUUUUUUAAAAAAAUUAUUUCGCAUAUAAAACUAUGCUUUAUGAUGAAUAUGAGAAGUGUUUUUCUAUUUUGUUUAAUAAAAUUAUGUUUUUUGAUAAAAUUACAUUUUUUGAUAAAAAAAAUAUUUUUGGAUGAAUAUGACAAAAAAUAGAUUCUUCUAUUUUUAAUGUACAAAAAAAAGUGUAUGAUAAUGCUGCUCGAUUUUUUUUUGCUCGAUAUUUUUAAUGUUACAGUGCACGAUAAUGUUGCUUGAUCUUUUCCUUCAAUUUUUUUUUGCUCGAUAGUUUUAAUGUUAUAUUGCUUUUGCUUCAUUUUUUUUUCUCAAUUUUUUGCAUGAUAUGUUUUUUUUUAUAUUUUUCUUAAGUGCAAGAUAUUACCAAAAAUAUGCAUGCUGACAGAGGGAUGGUAAAUGAACUAAGACUAUGUGAUGCUCCAGAUCUCUAAGAUGUCUUCAAGAUGUCAAUAUUAUGAAAGGUUGCAAUAACAUAAAAGUCUUUUUUGAUCUUUACUUGGAACCUCCCCUCUCUUUCUCUAAUUGUAUACCCAUACUCUUAUAUUAAAUUAGUACGUAUUGUAAAACUUGAAACUGGAGUGUGUAAACAUAUAUGUAUGUGUACUUAUAUUUAUCAGUAAUAAGCAUGGGAGUUUUUAAGUUUGAAAGUUAAAGUUAAAACUUUUGACCUUUUUCAAAAUUUUCAUUGAGUGAACCCUGAUAACUAGACACAACAGUACCUUUGCGCCCCUAGCUACUCUUUUUACUACCAACAUUAUUAAUUAGACUUUGUAAGUCCAUCAAUUGAAUUGAUCUUAAAUUAUAAAUUGUUUUACAUAUCUCCAUAAUAUUCAUAUAUUAAUUUAUAUAAAUGCAGUAAACCUUCCGAGCACUUGACAACUAUAAUAAACAGUAAUAUAGGUAAAAUUUCAGUCGUCAAAUGUUUAUCGAGUAGUCCAAAAUACAUAACACUAUUUUAAUUUUAAUUUUUUCUAUAAAUCUGAUUAAAAUGAAAUUUUGAGUGUAUAUACCUAACCUUAUUGCGCACCGUAUAAAAAUAUAAAAACAUUACUUGCAGUAAUUUAAAAUUACAAAUUUACCUCCAUUAUUUUCAAGGAUAUUUCAUCAUUUUAUAUUUAAAAAAUAUUUUUUAUAUAUUUUUUAAUUGUGCUUCUAUUUUUUAGUACACACAUAUAAAAUUUCAUUAUAAUUUGAUUUCUAAAAAAAAUAUUAAAAAUCAUAUAGUGAUAUGUAUUUUUAGCCAUAUGAUGAAGAUAUGACGGUUGAGAUUCCACCUAUAUUACUAUUCAUUAUAGCUCUUGGUGUUCGUUAGCUUUUCCCAUAUAAAUGAGUAAAUAUAUUUUAAAAAUUAAAAAUAAUAAGAAAACUUCUGAACAGUUAGUUUCAAUUAUUUUUAGAUAAACCACCUAUUAACUGGAUGCUUUAUACUUUGGGGACCACAAAUGUAGAAAUGCGGUCCGGCCAAAUGAAGCAAUUUUCCAUAAAUGCUCCCAAGCGGCUAUUUUCUCUGAUGGAGUUCUUUUCCAGAGUGCUCCCGCAGGAACAUGCUCUACGGACUGCAUUUUACUCCUUUUCUAGGGUUCGAGCGUAGACGAGCAAAGGAGAGAGAGACGGAGAUUUGUGUACCUGUUGGGUUUAGAGAGAGAGUGCGCAUUUUGGAGAGAGAGAGAGAGAGGGAGGGAAAAAUAGCAUUUAUGUUUGUUGGGAUUACACAGGCCUGCUGUUUUGCUCUCUUUUUGAAUGUUUUGGGAUUUUUUCCCCUCACAAAGUAUCAGCUUUUAAAACCCAUUUUCUCUAUUUGGAGGUUUCUGAUUAUUUUGCAGAAGAUGAAGCAGCUGGAUCCACCAUUCUAAGUAAAAGAGGUAUUUUUGCUCUCCUCUUUACAUUACCCUGCCUGGUUUUUCUUUUGUUCUUUAUGUACCCAUUGUUGGUUGAAUAAUGAUGCUCCCAACCCUCAGAAAAAGCUUGGCUUUGGCAAAACCCCAUUCUCUCUAUAUGCCUCAAUUCCUCUUUUCCCUUCCCUUCUCUCUUUCUUCAUCUCGCUCUUUCAAUGAUUCUUCUUCUUCUCUCUCUUUUCCCCCUUUCACUUCUUCCUCCACCUCUGCUUCUCUUCCUUCCAUUGUUACUCUUCUCAUGGACUAUGUUGGCCUCUCAAUGGAAUCAGCCAUGAAUGCAUCUUCGUGUCUUCUCCACCUUAAAACCACUGAAAAACCCCUCUCUGUAAUAAACUUCCUAAAAAACUCUGAUUUCAGUGAUACCCAUAUCCAAACUAUCAUCUGUAAACGUCCCCAGCUUCUUAAAGCCAAUGUGGAGAAAACCCUCAAACCCAAAUUCAGAGCGUUCCAUGAUUUGGGUCUUUUGGGGUGCGAUCUCGGACACAUCAUCUCUGCAAAUCCAGUCAUUCUCACAAAGAGUACUGAGAAACAAAUUCUCCCAAAAAUUGAGUGCCUCAAGAACUAUUUGCACACCAAUGAGAAGGUUGUAAGAGCUCUCAAAAGAUCUAGUUGGAUUCUGAUAUUUGAUAUGGAGAAGAGACUAGUACCCAACAUAAGGUUAUUGGAGAGCUAUGGAGUUGAGGACUCACAGUUACAUAAAUUUCUUUUAAGACAGCCCAGAUUCUUUACUAUAGAACCAAAACGAAUUAAGGAAAUUGCAGAGAGGGUGAAGGAAAUGGGUUUCAACCCUAAUUCGAGGUUGUUUUCUCAUGCGAUUUUGGCAAUGAGUAGUCUGAGCAGGGAGACAUGGCAGGGCAAAGUUGAGUUGUGUAAGAAUUUUGGGUGGUCCGAAGAGGAUGUUAUGUGUGCAUUUCGAAGGUUUCCAUAUUUAUUCUCUUUGUCUGAGAAGAAAUUGACGAUGGGUAUGGAUUAUUUCAUUAAUGUAUUAAAAUUGGACAAGUUUUAUCUUGUUUCGCAUCCUGUGCUUUUCUCCCUUAGUUUAGAGGGAAGGGUUAUCCCCAGGCACCGAGUCUUGCAAGCUUUGAGAUCGAAGAAUUUGCUCAAGAAGGAUGUCGAAUUCACGUCGUUUUGCAUAAGAGCAGAAAAUGUAUUUUUGCAAAGAUAUGUGUUGAGUUUUGGGAAUGAGGCUGAAUACUUGUUGAGGGUUUAUAAGGGGAUCACUUAAAAUUGAGGGCUUCUAUGUGGUUUUGCCACAGCAUUCUUCACCAUCAAAGUUGGAAACGAAUAUUUCAAAAGUAAAAGAUCAGUCCACAUUAAUGGUGAAUUGGGGGCCUUGGUCUUAAAGAUUAGAAGAAUGGGGAGCUUAGUCUUGCAAAAGGUGCUUAGAAGAUAGUUUUUAGCUCAAUUUUGGUGCAUUAUAUGCAUACAUAGGUGGCAAAUAGCUAAGGAUCUUUCACAUUGAGGCCCUUUCAUCUGAUGCCCAUGAUGAAGAAGAGUGCUUUGGCCCUGCUUGCCUUCUCCUUGGCAUUGGGGCAUUUCGAUACCGAAAUUUUGCAUGCUGGGAAAAUGGUGGAAAAACACUCAAAAGCUUGCCUUCUUUUUUUUUGUUUUUUUUCCAGCUUUUUUGUUGUGGGUGGGGUUGGGGCGCUUUGCUUUUUCAUCAUGCUAUUUUACUUUGAAGCGCAAUUUCGUUUACAGUAGGAUUUUUUGCUCUUUCUCCUUACCCUGGGAAAUAGAGGGUGACUCUCAUUAUGUGAGCUAGGUGAGACUCGAACCAUAUGGUGGUUUGCGAGUAUAUUACUAUAGUUUUAGGAUGUGUUUCCCUCAACCCAUCAUCUUUUCCCGCCACUUUUUGUGGCCACCGAAGCGGUGGUCUCUGGAUAAAGGAAGGGCAUCUCAGGUUACUAUCAAUUUAGGUGACUAACUUCUAUUUGUCUCGGUUUACUUUACUUGUUUACAUUGUCUGAUUAUUUCAGUGUUUUCUGCUGUGUUUUAUUGAAUGGAAUCUUUUCAUCAAUCAUGUAAAAGAAAAACGGAGGUUUUGCCUUUUAUAAUAGUAAAUCAGGUUUUAGGACACUUUUAUGGAUAAGAGUAUGUAAAAUAUGAAAUCCACGGCCAGGUCGGAUUAAGCUGUUGGGUUGGGGUUGAGAUCAUGAUUGCAUGAGAACAUCCUCUACAUGGAAAUGUUGGUGCAUUUUCUACAGAGAUGAGGACAUUUUCUUGUUGUUUCUGGGUGGGGUAUUGUAUCUCCGAAUUAUGACUACUGCCUUCUUUCUUAACCCUUGGAACAUUUUCUUUUGUUUUCUUUUGGGGACAAUUUGUUGUGGUUUCUGCAGAGGGAUUGUACCUCUGUAUUAUGACCACCACUUUUUUUUCAAAGCUGCAAAGGAAAGUUACAACAGUUGCACCCCAUUUCUUCAUCAUCUAACCACACAGAUCAGUGAAAUUUUUCAUGGAGCAGCUUUAUAAACAGUUCUGAGUAAAUACAGCUUCAAAAAAACAGUACUUAUAGCCCAUCUUUAAGUAGCCACACCUGUGAUGAAAGUUCCUCUAUUUAUAGGGAGAGUUCAGUGUAUGCUGGUUCUUACCACUUUUCACAACCUAAUUGCUAGUAUUGAGAACUAAUGAUAAACUACAGGAAUUCAAGAAACUAUAAUUGUUGAUUAUGCUUCAUGUACCAUAAUAAACUGAGUCAGGCAUGUAAUAAACUGAGAACAUAAGAAUCAAUGUUUGAAACUUGGCAUUCUGGAUCUGGAAUUGCCAAUCCUGAUUGGUUUCAAUGGGUGGUCAAUCAGGGUCCCCUCCCCCAAAAUGGCCCCAAUUUUAUUUUUCAUUAGUUUAAACUGGUUUGACAAUUUGGAUUGAUCGGCCUAUCCAGAUCAGUGGGUGAUCCAAAACACUAUGCUGCAUUUUGAAGGUUAUGUUACAUGGAUUAUGGGUGAUCCAAAACACAAUUCCUCUUUUUCCUUCUCAUGGAUUAUGUUGCAUGCGCAUUUCGAAGGUUUCCAAAUUUGUUUUUUUCAAAGAAGAAGUUGCAGGGGGUCAUGGAAUAUUUCACUAACGAAAUUAAGUUUGGUAAGCUCAUAUUGCACUAAGAAAAUUAAGUUUGGCAAGAACCAUUUGAUGUGUAAUCCUCGACGUUUUCGGAUUAGUUUGGAGGGAAGGGUGAUCUCUAGGCACAUACACCACAACCUUUGAGAUCUAAAAAUUGCUCAAAGGGAUGCAGAUAUGGUAUCUGUUUGCAAACAAAUAAAAAAGAUGUUUUUGCAGAAGUUUGCGUAAAAUUUUGGGAAUUUACAAGGGAAUCCCCAAAAAGAUAGAGAGAGUAGAUUUAGAUGGGCUGGUUAUGUGUGGCUCAAACUUAGUACAACACCGAUUAGGAGGUGCAAGUUAGUUCAAGUGGAAAGUUUAAAAAGGGCAAAUGUAGGCCCAAAUAAAGCAUAAUGACGGACUAAGAUUCGUGUGAUCGAUCUUAUUUAGUUGGGAAAAAGCUUCGACGAUGAUGAUAGGGGAAUCGAAAAAGCUUUGACGAUGAUGAUAGGGGAAUCCCCAAAAAAUUGGAUGGGUCUUAACUUUCAAAUUCGAGAUGCAUUCUUGUUUCCAUUGCUCUUAAGUUUUCUAGUGUUUCCUUCUUCCUUCUAUUUGGUUCUAAUGGGGCUUUGUAUUUCUUCCACUCAAUGAAUGACUUCUAUUACUUUGUAUGUAAGACUAACUGUUAUAUUAUGUUGAAUGGGUUUUGUGGCUCAUUGGUGAAGAUAGAUGCCAAAUUUUGUUCAACUCUUGACUCGUGAAUGGAAAUAAUAGGCUAGAGGCUUAAAACAACUCUAAUUGUAAGUAGUGCAGCUGAUGAGAACGGUCUAUUGAGAUUGUUUUGGGCAAGAAAGAGAAUUAUGGCUCAUUGGGCAUAGGGGUGGCAACGGGUCUGGUCUGGACAGAUCCAAACCCAAACACUAUUUGGAUCCAGACCCAACGCGCCUGGUCCAAUUUUUGGACCUUGAUCGGGUCUACCCCUAGAGUCCUGGGUCAGGUUCGGGUCCAUUGCCACCCCUGAUUGGAAAUGAGAUGCAGAAUGGCUUCAUUUUUCCAGUUGUUUUGAAGACAAGGAAAGAAUAUCAUUUGGGGUUUAUGAUUUGAUAACACCAUGGGAUUAGACGUGCUCCAUCUCAUGUCCGGGCGGCGCCUCUUAGAUUGGUGCAUUGCGAUGAUGCUUUGGAGGUCUCUUGCUUGAAGCCUGAAUAUCCAAAAUUCCUAAUUUGCUCUUGGUGGAUUUUGAUGGUUGAUAUCAAGAAGAGAUUACUGCUCAAUAUAAGGUUAAUAAUGAAUGCACUCGAAGAAAUCCGGUGUGAUGGAAAUGAAGUUAUUGUUUCGUGGUGUAUCAUUUCUAUUUAUUGUUAAUGGAAGGUUGUUAUCCAUUGGGAAAAUGAAGAGAUUCAUCAUUAUCAUCAUCGGAGUCUCAUCUCAACUAUUUAGGAGAAUUUUGUUUCGCUAUUCCGCUCUAUCAAAAAUCAUUUCUUCAUUGACACUAUGAGUUAUCAUUUCUCUUUUCAUUAUUUUAAUCUAUGCAUUCUCAUUACCCUUUUAGCGUCUUGCUCUUGAAUCAAAUCGCUCCUCUUAACUGGUACUAAGUUAAAUCGACGUUAUACAUAGCCAAACUAUUAAGUCUCUUUUUCCUCUUCUUAUUACAUAUUGGAGCCACAGCUGAAUUUUCUUAGAUCUUAUUGCACACUGUGUUUUGCACCCUUGUGGAAAAUGUCCCCAUAGCAAAUUUCCAACUGGUUCAAAUACUGGAUUCACGAAAUCUUCCAUUUCUCAUGGAAUGCGCCCAAAUUUACGAGUUGAGAGAGUUUCAAGUCUAGAAAGCUUAUGGUCUAGUGAAGUCUAGAGGGGUACCAUGCUCCCAAAUUAUAGCCCCUGCCUGUUGGUUGAAUCUUGAAUAUCAUUUAGUGCUUCACGGUUGUGUUGUCUCUUCUGAUCAGUUGUGCUCCAUGGUUUUGCUGGCCCUGAGUGUUCGUAAAUCCGGCCGGUUAGAUCGGAACCGUUAGGGUUCCGACUCCGGUUAAGGCUGGUUUUGGUGUUCUAACUUGUAUAUGAAAUACCCCAAAAAAUAUCCUGUCCAAAACCCGCCGUUAUCCAGUCGAACCGGCCAUUUUUAUAUUAAACCUACUAGUUUUUUGGCAAACCGGAUCGGUUAGUUUAAAAAAUGGAUUGUAACAUAAUAUAAUGGAAAAAUAACAUAUAACGUCUGUUAUUUUUUAUAGGGGUCUUUAUUUGAUGCAGAAGUCACAUGUUUCUCUUGAUUGAACAUUUGAUUCCAUUUUCCCUGCAUUUUCAGCCUUAUACAAACGUUUGUAGCUAAUAAUCGGUCGAAAUUUUUGCUUUUCGCCUAUAAAUCAAUCAAUUUGAGAUCAAAAUGGCAUCGAAAUUCCACUUUCUUGGCUAUUAUUUGGGUACGCUUCAAAGUUUCACGAGAAUUCCGCCAAUCUAAAGAUUUUGGCCUCUUUUUUUAAUUUUCCUACAUCAAAAUGGAGGGAUUUUGUUCAUGAACAGACAUAUCAGCACUACUACACUCCUUAUUUGAUCGAAAUCUAGGGAUUUUGAGCUCGAUUUGAGAUUAGGACUUCGGUUAGAAGAAAACAAUGUAAGCUUUAUCUUGAAUUUUUUUUAUUUUUUGUUCUACUUUUUCUUCCUCUUUUAGUAUUUUUCUGACAAUAUUUUAUUGAAGUUAUUGAUUGCAUCCAAUAAAAGAACAUAUUUGAGGAUAAAUACUCAACGAAAAUCAAUUUUUCUUGCCCAUUUUUUUUGUGUUCUUCAAUGUUUCGGGAAAAAUCCGACAAACUACAGAUUGUGGCGUUGUUUUUUUUAUUGUUUCUCGAUCAAAAUAGGAGGCUUUUGUGGAUGACAGAGAUGUUCAGACUAUUGAACUCCUAAUUUCAACGAAAGUCAGACAUUUGGGGCUCGAUUUUAGGGGUUUUUGAUAAAUUGGUUUUUCUAAAAAAAAUUUAUUUUGCAUAUAAAACUAUGCUUAUGAUGAUUAUGAGAAGUGUUUUUCUAUUUUGUUUAAUAAAAUUAUGUUUUUUUUAUAAAAUUACAUUUUUUGAUAAAAAAAAUAUAUUUUUGGAUGAAUAUGACAAAAAUAGAUUCUUCUAUUUUUAAUGUACAAAAAAAAGUGCAUGAUAAUGCUGCUCGAUUUUUUUUUGCUCGAUAUUUUUAAUGUUACAGUGCACGAUAAUGUUGCUUGAUAUUUUCCUUCAAUUUUUUUUGCUCGAUAUUUUUAAUGUUAUAUUGCUUUUGCUUCAUUUUUUUUUUUCUCAAUUUUUUGCAUGAUAUGUUUUUUUUUAUAUUUUUCUUAAGUGCAAGAUAUUACCAAAAAUAUGCAUGCUGACAGAGGGAUGGUAAAUGAACUAAGACUAUGUGAUGCUCCCGAUCUCUAAGAUGUCUUCAAGAUGUCAAUAUUAUGAAAGGUUGCAGUAACAUAAAAAUCUUUUUUGAUCUCUACUUGAAACCACUCUUCUCUCUUUCUAAUUGUAUACCCAUACUCUUAUAUUAAAUUAAUACGUAUUGUAAAACUUGAAACUGGAGUGUGUAAACAUAUACGUAUUGUAAAACUCGAAACUGGAGUGUGUAAACAUAUAUGUAUGUGUACUUAUAUUUAUCAGUAAUAAGCAUGGGAGUUUUUAAGUUUGAAAGUUAAAGUUAAAACUUUUGACCUUUUUCAAAAUUUUCAUUGAGUGAACCCUGAUAACUAGACACAACAGUACCUUUGCGCCCCUAGCUACUCUUUUUACUACCAACAUUAUUAAUUAGACUUUGUAAGUCCAUCAAUUGAAUUGAUCUUAAAUUAUAAAUUGUUUUACAUAUCUCCAUAAUGUUCAUAUAUUAAUUUAUAUAAAUGCAGUAAACCUUCCGAGCACUUGACAACUAUAAUAAACAGUAAUAUAGGUAAAAUUUCAGUCGUCAAAUGUUUAUCGAGUAGUCCAAAAUACAUAACACUAUUUUAAUUUUAAUUUUUUCUAUAAAUCUAAUUAAAAUGAAAUUUUGAGUGUAUAUACCUAACCUUAUUGCGCACCGUAUAAAAAUAUAAAAACAUUACUUGCAGUAAUUUAAAAUUACAAAUUUACCUCCAUUAUUUUCAAGGAUAUUUCAUCAUUUUAUAUUUAAAAAAUAUUUUUUAUAUAUUUUUUAAUUGUGCUUCUAUUUUUUAGUACACACAUAUAAAAUUUCAUUAUAAUUUGAUUUCUAAAAAAAAUAUUAAAAAUCAUAUAGUGAUAUGUAUUUUUAGCCAUAUGAUGAAGAUAUGACGGUUGAGAUUCCACCUAUAUUACUAUUCAUUAUAGCUCUUGGUGUUCGUUAGCUUUUCCCAUAUAAAUGAGUAAAUAUAUUUUAAAAAUUAAAAAUAAUAAGAAAACUUCUGAACAGUUAGUUUCAAUUAUUUUUAGAUAAACCACCUAUUAACUGGAUGCUUUAUACUUUGGGGACCACAAAUGUAGAAAUGCGGUCCGGCCAAAUGAAGCAAUUUUCCAUAAAUGCUCCCAAGCGGCUAUUUUCUCUGAUGGAGUUCUUUUCCAGAGUGCUCCCGCAGGAACAUGCUCUACGGACUGCAUUUUACUCCUUUUCUAGGGUUCGAGCGUAGACGAGCAAAGGAGAGAGAGACGGAGAUUUGUGUACCUGUUGGGUUUAGAGAGAGAGUGCGCAUUUUGGAGAGAGAGAGAGAGAGGGAGGGAAAAAUAGCAUUUAUGUUUGUUGGGAUUACACAGGCCUGCUGUUUUGCUCUCUUUUUGAAUGUUUUGGGAUUUUUUCCCCUCACAAAGUAUCAGCUUUUAAAACCCAUUUUCUCUAUUUGGAGGUUUCUGAUUAUUUUGCAGAAGAUGAAGCAGCUGGAUCCACCAUUCUAAGUAAAAGAGGUAUUUUUGCUCUCCUCUUUACAUUACCCUGCCUGGUUUUUCUUUUGUUCUUUAUGUACCCAUUGUUGGUUGAAUAAUGAUGCUCCCAACCCUCAGAAAAAGCUUGGCUUUGGCAAAACCCCAUUCUCUCUAUAUGCCUCAAUUCCUCUUUUCCCUUCCCUUCUCUCUUUCUUCAUCUCGCUCUUUCAAUGAUUCUUCUUCUUCUCUCUCUUUUCCCCCUUUCACUUCUUCCUCCACCUCUGCUUCUCUUCCUUCCAUUGUUACUCUUCUCAUGGACUAUGUUGGCCUCUCAAUGGAAUCAGCCAUGAAUGCAUCUUCGUGUCUUCUCCACCUUAAAACCACUGAAAAACCCCUCUCUGUAAUAAACUUCCUAAAAAACUCUGAUUUCAGUGAUACCCAUAUCCAAACUAUCAUCUGUAAACGUCCCCAGCUUCUUAAAGCCAAUGUGGAGAAAACCCUCAAACCCAAAUUCAGAGCGUUCCAUGAUUUGGGUCUUUUGGGGUGCGAUCUCGGACACAUCAUCUCUGCAAAUCCAGUCAUUCUCACAAAGAGUACUGAGAAACAAAUUCUCCCAAAAAUUGAGUGCCUCAAGAACUAUUUGCACACCAAUGAGAAGGUUGUAAGAGCUCUCAAAAGAUCUAGUUGGAUUCUGAUAUUUGAUAUGGAGAAGAGACUAGUACCCAACAUAAGGUUAUUGGAGAGCUAUGGAGUUGAGGACUCACAGUUACAUAAAUUUCUUUUAAGACAGCCCAGAUUCUUUACUAUAGAACCAAAACGAAUUAAGGAAAUUGCAGAGAGGGUGAAGGAAAUGGGUUUCAACCCUAAUUCGAGGUUGUUUUCUCAUGCGAUUUUGGCAAUGAGUAGUCUGAGCAGGGAGACAUGGCAGGGCAAAGUUGAGUUGUGUAAGAAUUUUGGGUGGUCCGAAGAGGAUGUUAUGUGUGCAUUUCGAAGGUUUCCAUAUUUAUUCUCUUUGUCUGAGAAGAAAUUGACGAUGGGUAUGGAUUAUUUCAUUAAUGUAUUAAAAUUGGACAAGUUUUAUCUUGUUUCGCAUCCUGUGCUUUUCUCCCUUAGUUUAGAGGGAAGGGUUAUCCCCAGGCACCGAGUCUUGCAAGCUUUGAGAUCGAAGAAUUUGCUCAAGAAGGAUGUCGAAUUCACGUCGUUUUGCAUAAGAGCAGAAAAUGUAUUUUUGCAAAGAUAUGUGUUGAGUUUUGGGAAUGAGGCUGAAUACUUGUUGAGGGUUUAUAAGGGGAUCACUUAAAAUUGAGGGCUUCUAUGUGGUUUUGCCACAGCAUUCUUCACCAUCAAAGUUGGAAACGAAUAUUUCAAAAGUAAAAGAUCAGUCCACAUUAAUGGUGAAUUGGGGGCCUUGGUCUUAAAGAUUAGAAGAAUGGGGAGCUUAGUCUUGCAAAAGGUGCUUAGAAGAUAGUUUUUAGCUCAAUUUUGGUGCAUUAUAUGCAUACAUAGGUGGCAAAUAGCUAAGGAUCUUUCACAUUGAGGCCCUUUCAUCUGAUGCACAUGAUGAAGAAGAGUGCUUUGGCCCUGCUUGCCUUCUCCUUGGCAUUGGGGCAUUUCGAUACCGAAAUUUUGCAUGCUGGGAAAAUGGUGGAAAAACACUCAAAAGCUUGCCUUCUUUUUUUUUGUUUUUUUUCCAGCUUUUUUGUUGUGGGUGGGGUUGGGGCGCUUUGCUUUUUCAUCAUGCUAUUUUACUUUGAAGCGCAAUUUCGUUUACAGUAGGAUUUUUUGCUCUUUCUCCUUACCCUGGGAAAUAGAGGGUGACUCUCAUUAUGUGAGCUAGGUGAGACUCGAACCAUAUGGUGGUUUGCGAGUAUAUUACUAUAGUUUUAGGAUGUGUUUCCCUCAACCCAUCAUCUUUUCCCGCCACUUUUUGUGGCCACCGAAGCGAUGGUCUCUGGAUGAAGGAAGGGCAUCUCAGGUUACUAUCAAUUUAGGUGACUAACUUCUAUUUGUCUCGGUUUACUUUACUUGUUUACAUUGUCUGAUUAUUUCAGUGUUUUCUGCUGUGUUUUAUUGAAUGGAAUCUUUUCAUCAAUCAUGUAAAAGAAAAACGGAGGUUUUGCCUUUUAUAAUAGUAAAUCAGGUUUUAGGACACUUUUAUGGAUAAGAGUAUGUAAAAUAUGAAAUCCACGGCCAGGUGGGAUUAAGCUGUUGGGUUGGGGUUGAGAUCAUGAUUGCAUGAGAACAUCCUCUACAUGGAAAUGUUGGUGCAUUUUCUACGGAGAUGAGGACAUUUUCUUGUGGUUUCGGGGUGGGGUAUUGUAUCUCCGAAUUAUGACUACUGCCUUCUUUCUGAACCCUUGGAAAUUUUCUUUUGUUUUCUUUUGGGGACAAUUUGUUGUGGUUUCUGCAGAGGGAUUGUACCUCUGUAUUAUGACCACCACCUUUUUUCAAAGCUGCAUAGGAAAGUUACAACAGUUGCACCCAUUUCUUCAUCAUCUAACCACACUGAUCAGUGAAAUUUUUCAUGGAGCAGCUUUAUAAACAGUUCUGAGUAAAUACAGCUUCAAAAAAACAGUACUUAUAGCCCAUCUUUAAGUAGCCACACCUGUGAUGAAAGUUCCUCUAUUUAUAGGGAGAGUUCAGUGUAUGCUGGUUCUUACCACUUUUCACAACCUAAUUGCUAGUAUUGAGAACUAAUGAUAAACUACAGGAAUUCAAGAAACUAUAAUUGUUGAUUAUGGUUCAUGUACCAUAAUAAACUGAGUCAGGCAUGUAAUAAACUGAGAAUAUAAGAAUCAAUGUUUGAAACUUGGCAAUCUGGAUCUGGAAUUGCCAGUCCUGAUUGGUUUCAAUGGGUGGUCAAUCAGGGUCCCCUCCCCCAAAAUGGCCCCAGUUUUAUUUUUCAUUAGCUUAAACUGGUUUGACAAUUUGGAUUGAUCGGCCUAUCCAGAUCAGUGGGUGAUCCAAAACACUAUGCUGCAUUUUGAAGGUUACGUUACAUGGAUUAUGGGUGAUCCAAAACACAAUUCCUCUUUUCCCUUCUCAUGUAUUAUGUUUCACGUGCAUUUGGAAGGUUUCCAAAUUUGUUUUUGUCGAAGAAGAAGUUGCAGAGCGUCGUGGAAUAUUUCACUAACGAAAUUAAGUUUGGUAUGCUCAUAUUUCACUAAGAAAAUUAAGUUGACAAGAACCAUUUGAUGUGUAAUCCUCGACUUUUUGGGAUUAGUUUGGAGGGAAGGGUGAUCCUUAGGCACAGACACCACAACCUUUGAGAUGCAAAAAUUGCUCAAAGGGAUGCAGAUAUAGUAUCAGUUUGCAAACAAAUGGAAAAGAUGUUUUUGCAUAAGUUUUCGUACGAUUUUGAGAAUUUACAGGGAAUCUCCGAAAAGAUGAGAAAGAGUGGAUUUAGAUGGGCUGACCAUGUGUGGUUCAAACCUAGUACAACUCCGAUUCGGAGGUGCAAGUUAGUUCAAAUGGAAGGUUUAAAAAGGGCAAAAGUAGGCCCAAAAGGAUAUGGUUGGAAGUAGUUAAAAGUUUUGGAGACUUAUGAUCUCACUAAAGGUAUGGUCCUUAAUAGAGCAUAAUGACGGACCAAGAUUCGUAUAGCCGAUCUUAAGUAGUUAGGAAAAGGCUUUGACGAAGAUGAUAGGGGAAUUCCCAAAAAAUUGGAUGGGUCUUAACUUUCAAAAUCCGAGAUCCAUUCUUGUUUCCCUUGCUCUUAAGUUUUCUAGUGUUUCCUUCUUCCUUCUAUCUGGUUCUAAUGGGGCUUUGUAUUUCUUCCACUCAAUGAAUGACUUCUAUUACUUUGUAUGCAAGACUAAUUGAUAUGUUAUGUUGAAUGCGUUUUGUAGCUCAUUGGUGAAGAUAGAUGCCAAAUUUUGUUCAACUCUUGACUCGUGAAUGGGAAUAAUAGGCUAAAGGUUUAAAGCAACUCUAAUUUUAAGUAGUGCAACUGAUGAGAACGGUCUAUUGAGAUUGUUUUGGGCAAGAACGUGCUCCAUCUCAUGUCCGGGCGGCGCCUCUUAGUUUGGUGCAUUGCGAUGAUGCUUUGGAGGUCUCUUGCUUGAAGCCUGAAUAUCCAAAAUUCCUAAUUUGCUCUUGGUGGAUUUUGAUGGUUGAUAUCAAGAAGAGAUUACUGCUCAUUAUAAGGUUAAUAAUGAAUGCACUCGAAGAAAUCCGGUGUGAUGGAAUGAAGUUAUUGUUUCGUGGUGUAUCAUUUUUAUUUAAUGGAAGGUUGUUAUCCAUUGGGAAAAUAAAGAGAUUCAUCAUUAUCAUCAUCGGAGCUUCAUCUCAGCUAUUUAUGGGAAUCAUGUUUCGCUAUUCCGCUCUAUCAAAAAUUAUAUUCUCAUUGAGAUUAUAAGUUACCAUUUCUCUUUUCAUUAUUUUAAUCUAUGCAUUCUCAUUGCCUUUUUAGAGUCUUCCUCUUGAAUCGAAUCGCUCCUCCUAACUGGUGUUAAACUAGAUCGACGUUAUACAUAUAGCCAAACUAUUAAGUCUAUUUUUCCUCUUCUUAUUACAUAUUGGUGCCACAGCUGAAUUUUCUUAGAUCUUAUUGCACACAAUGUUUUGCACUCUUGUGGAAUAUGCCCCCAUAGCAAAUUUCCAACCGGUUCAUAUACUAUGGAUUCACGAAAUCUUCCAUUUCUCAUCGAAUGCGCCAAAAUUUACGAGUUGAGAGAGUUUCAAGUCUAGAAAGCUUAUGGUCUAGUGAAGUCUAGAGGGGUACCAUGCUCCCAAAUUAUAGUCCCUGCCUGUUGGUUGAAUCUUGAAUAUCAUUUAGUGCUUCACGGUUGUGUUGUCUCUUCUGAUCAGUUGUGCUCCAUGGUUUUGCUGGCCCUGAGUGUUCGAAAAACCAGCCGGUUAGAUCGGAACCGUUAGGGUUCCGACUCCGGUUAAGCCUGGUUUUGGUGUUCUAACAUGUAUAUGAAAUACCCCAAAAAAUAUCCUGUCCAAUAUUCGUCGAUAUCUAGUCGAACCGGCCAAUUUUAUAUUAAACCUGCAGGCUUUUUGGUAAAUCGGAUUGGUUAGUUUAAAAAAUGGAUUGUAACAUAAUAUAAUGGAGAAAUAACGUAUAACGUCUGUUAUUUUUUAUAGGGGUCUUAUUUGAUGCAGAAGUCACAUGUUUCUCUUGAUUGAACAUUUGAUUCCAUUUUCCAUGCUUUUUCAGCCUUAUACAAGUGUUUGUAGCUAAUAAUUGAUCGAAAUUUUUGCUUUUCGCCUAUAAAUCAAUCGAUUUGAAAUCAAAAUGGCAUCGAAAUUCCACUUUCUUGGCUGUUAUUUGGGUACGCUUCAAAGUUUGUGAUAAAUCCGCCAAUCUAAAGAUUUUGGCCUCUUUUUUUAAUUUUUCUACAUCAAAAUGGAGGGAUUUUGUCGAUGACAGACAUAUCAGCACUACUACACUCCUUAUUUGAUCGAAAUCUAGAGAUUUCGAGCUCGAUUUGAGAUUAGGGCUUCAUUUGAGUUAGAAGAAAACAAUGUUCGUUUUAUCCUGAAUUUUUUUUAUUUUUUUUCCUACUUUUUCUUUCUCUUUUAGUAUUUUUCAGACACUAUUUUACUGAAAUUAUUGAUUGCAUCCAAUAAAUAAACAUAUUUGAGAAUAAAAACUCAACGAAAGUCAAUUUUUCUUGCCCUUUUUUUUUGUGUUCUUCAAUGUUUCGAGAAAAAUCCGACAAACUACAGAUUGUAGCGUUGUUGUUUUAUUGUUUCUCGAUCAAAAUAGGGGGCUUUUGUGGAUGGCAGAGAUGUUCAGACUAUUGAACUCCUAAUUUCAUUGAAAAUCAUACAUUUGGAGCUCGAUUUUAGGGGUUUUUGAUAAAUUGGUUUUUUAAAAAAAAAUUAUUUCGCAUAUAAAACUAUGCUUUAUGAUGAAUAUGAGAAGUGUUUUUCUUUUUUUUUAAUAAAAUUAUGUUUUUUUUAUAAAAUUACAUUUUUUGAUAAAAAAAUAUAUUUUUGGAUGAAUUAUGACAAAAAAUAGAUUCUUCUAUUUUUAAUGUACAAAAAACAUUCCAUGAUAAUGCUGCUCGAUUUUUUUUUGCUCGAUUUUUUUAAUGUUACAAUGCACGAUAAUAUUGCUUGAUCUUUUCCUUCAAUUUUUUUUCGCUCAAUAUCUUUAAUGACAUUUCUUUUGCUCGAUUUUUUUUUUUUCUCAAUUUUUUGCAUGAUAUGUUUUUUUAUAUUUUUCUUAAGUGCAAGAUAUAACCAAAAAUAUGCAUGCUGACAGAGGGAUGGUAAAUGAACUAAGACUAUGUGAUGCUCCCGAUCUCUAAGAUGUCUUCAAGAUGUCAAUAUUAUGAAAGGUUGCAGUAACAUAAAAAUCUUUUUUGAUCUCUACUUGAAACCUCUCCUCUCUCUCUAUAAUUCUAUAAUUGUAUGCCCAUACUCUUAUAUUAGAAUAAUACGUAUUGUAAAACUUGAAACUGGAGUGUGUAAACAUAUGUGUACUUAUAUUUUCAACAAUAAGAAUAAUAAGCAUAAGAGUUUUUAAGUUUGAAAGUUAAAGUUUAAACUCUUCGCCUUUCUCAAAAUUUUCAUUGAGUGAACCUUAAUAGCAAGACACAACAGUACCUUAGCCCCCCUAGCUACUCUCUUUACUAUUAACAUUGUUAUUUAGACUUUGUAACUCCAUCAAUUGAAUUAAUGUUAAAUUAUAAAUUGUUUUGCGUAUCUCCAUAAUAUUCAUAUAUUAAUUUAUAUAAAAAGUUGGGUUUCUGGUUCUAACCACUCCCAGCCCCAUAAUUGCACGCUAAGUUGCUGAACGAUGUUUAUGGUGAUCCAAUACUUUGUGUACCCACAGUUAUUUGCUACUUCAUGUAAAGGGAGGCUGUAGAACUUGGUUGUGAGGAGUGAGAACAUGAGGCGUUCUUUUUGCUGUAAUUGAUGAGAGCUUGAGGCUUGCUUCAUGGAAGUUUAGUCUGCCCUUUCCCUAGCUACGCCCUCGAUAAUUGUAACAAGGUAACGUGGAUAGAGAGAGAUAUAGAGAGAGCAACAAUGAAUCAUAGAUGAAACACAAUUCGGCACAUCGGAUUUCUCAGAACCCCUAUUUUUUUUACGAAAAGCCAUCAUUCUGUGGAGCUUCAUCUAAAAUUUACAAUGGUUGAAGCCAUUUCUUAUCACUUAAGAUACAUAGAUCAGCAAAGUCCUCUUCAUUUAGGAGCUGCUAGAAACAAAGCUGCAAAUACAUACAAUAUUUCAAAAAAAAGAAAUAAUUCAUCUCAGUGCCACAACUGCGACGAGUUUCAAUGCUAUUAAAAGAGGACUCUAGUUCAUCCUAGUUCUUUCAGCUUUUUUAGAACCCAAUCCUCAAGCUUUUCUCUGUACGACGAAUAGGCCAAUUCUUAAGCACUGAGAAAACCAGAGAUAAAUUACAGCAACCCAAGAGACUUCAACUGCUGAAUGUGUUCUGGAGGGAGCUGCGGAGGGCUCCAAUUAGGUUCCAUCGCCUCACCAUCCACAUCCUCCACCACAUAUUCCUGCAAAAGCCGCCCAAACUCGAAAGUCAAUCUUACUUGGUCUACAAAUGAAUCAAAGCAAUUUUUCGAAACAUUUCCAUUUUGCACAAACUUUGUUGCAUGACAAAGUCCUAUAUGGAAUAUUGUUAUGAGAGAGAGAGAGAACAAAAGGCGAAUACAAAAAGGCCUCUGACUCACUUUUGUAAGCAUCCUUUUGGCAAGAAUAUGGUAAUGGCGCUGCCAAAUCCUCUGCCCCACCAUGGUAGCCACGAGCACGCUGUAAAAUAUCCCUACCACAGUGAAGAGCCCUAAGAUGAUGAUCCCAACAAUUAGUAGUAUAGGAAGCCCAGCUUCACCAGCACCCCCUAAGCAGGUUCCACAUUCCCCUACAGUGCUUGCACAGCUCUCAAAGCAAGUGGCACAAUCCGUCCACAUGCAUAUGGUGCCUGGUAAGUGGCAGUCAGCGCAAACUCUGCACAAAAGAUACUAUGUUUUCAUUAUAUAUUCAGCGGCAGUUAAGAUAACAUAAGAGAAACAGUCAACUGUGGUAUACGAUGCUCCAAGCAAUAUCAAACAUCUCUUUUGUUGUAGAACACUUGGCAAUUUACUAUCAUUCUCGAGUAGAUGUCUCCGUGGGCACACUUUCAAUCAAUCUCCAGCCAUCCGUCAAUUGGGGAGUUCAUGCAAACUGAGAGUACCAUAUAUAUACCAUGGUCCAUUACACUAUGGUAUGGUCACCCUAACAAAAAAAAGCAUGAACUGCACUCCGCAUAGAAGUGGGGUAAAACUAACAGUAGAUGCGUGUACAUAUAAGGGGAGCUAUAGAAAGUAGAUAAUUCCAACUGAAAUAAUAGUUCAGAAGUGGAGAUUCAUGAUUGCAUAAAAGAGCAUCUGAGAGAGUUCAAAGAAAAGAAGAGAAUCAGGAAUCAUUUUUUCAAUAGCUUAGAACAAGGAUCAUUAAAAAAUAAGCAUGAAACGCUAGGACAAGUUAUAUUCCGAACACUCCGCUUCUCCCUCUCCUCUUCCGGAAUAAGCUGCCCCUUGUUCUGGUUCUCAACUACUGGUUCAUUUACUUUACCUCCCUGAAUAUCCAGUUUUGACUCAGCGCUUGUGGAGGUUUUCACUGUGUUUUGAGAACUCUCUAAAUGGAAAGAUCAAUUACAUCCAAACUUUUCAUAAUCCUUUGAGCAAAGUUCCUUUAGAGAGAUGUUUUGAUGCCGGUCAGGGCUUAUUUUCAUCUCAUCCACUCCCUGUCUGGGACUCCCUCCACUGUACCACAAUUACUUUCAUCUCAUCCACUCCAGAGCCCCUCCCCUUUCUCCUCCCAUUAACCACCGGCAAGUCUCCGUUUCCAUCCCUCCUCCUACCCUGCUGCCGUCUCAACCUGCUACCACCCCCCUCUGUCCCUAUCUCUGAUUCCAUUAGAUGCUUGACUAACCCCCACGCCCCCCCCCCCNNNNNNNNNNNNNNNNNNNNCCCCCUCCCCCCCCUUCCCCCCCUAAACCUACCCGUACCACUCCUCGGUCCUAGUCCCUACCCUACCCCCUAACCCUCCUCCGCACUCACGACCUGACCAAACCACCUCUCACGCUCAACCCAGUCCUUCAAUCUGCUUGACUCGGAAACCUCACCCCCCCCCCCCCCCUCCCCCCGCAGAGAUGACUUCAGACGUACAGAAAUGUGGGCUCAGAAACUGUGAACCUUGGCUGCUGCCCUCUCUCAAGCAGUGAUCUUCUAUUCUCCUUCCCCUCCAGGGCUAGCUCAGACAGAACCUACAAUGGAAAAACCCUUCUUUCAAAGGAGUUUUUCUUUCGCUCUCCCGGUGGACCACUGAGCUUGGAGCUACUCGUCCCCAAAGGAUCUAGCUUCGGGUCACUCACAUCCCUUUACAAGCCUGGCAUCAAUCGACUUUCAAGAUUAUUGAUGCUUGUGGGAACUUCAUUUCUACCCACUGGAAAUCCCUGGAAUUCUUGCUCCUCGGAUCCAUCCAGAUACUCAUUGAUGCUGUGGACCCCAACCUUAUUCCCUCUUUCCUUUGGCUCAUUAUUGAAGGCCUCUUCUUUCGCAUAUCCCUAACCUGGUACCCAGCCUCAUCCUCUGCAAUUCGCCAUUUCCAGGACCACCAUCCUGGACCACACAAGAGCCCCAAACCCGACCAUAGUAAGUUGGCUGAUCCAGAAGGGUGGACUACGGUACCCCAUAGGUGCAAGAAAAGAGUCCCUCACAACCGUAGAUCAUCAGAAUGCCCACAUCGUGCCACCUAAGCUGCCCGUGGAUGUGGCUCACCACCAUUCCCUGCUCCUGCUGCCAUGUACGCGGAAGCCUUGGUCAACACGCCUUCUCUGCCUCCUGCCCACGAUGCUCUGCUGCCAGCCUGUUCGAUCGUCCCUUCCUCAAGCCCCUCUACCCAGGUGUCCACCAUCCUCUCCCCUCAUCCUGGUGGCCCAAUCAAAGUCGCCGUCUCACGUGCCUUCCUUUCACACCCUGGCACUAGCCUGUCGUCAUCCUCUCUGUUCAUCCCUCCCCAUUCCAUCUCCUCAUCCUACGGUGCUCCUCUCUCCUCCCACCCUUCCAAUCCUGGUCCCUCCACGUGCCCAUCAACUCUACCACUUGCGGGUCCUCGGAGCCCAUUUGCCUCGGCCGCCAACCCUCCCUCUCUAAUCUCGAUCAUCCAUCCUAAACCCCAGGACUUCGCUCCUUGUUCCAUUGGUCCCUCCUCUCUCUCCUCCCCUAUCCUUCCCCUCUCUUCCUCCAACUGUAAACCCCAGCCAGAGACAAUGCUACCCCUCCAACACACACUCUCCCCUGCUCCAUCUCCUUCCCCUCAGUUGCCACUUCCACCCCCCCUUCUUGCCUCCCCAUCCACCAACGGCUACAUCAGCAAGCAGACUGCCUUGGCCUCGCCCUCGCUCCCCCCCCCCCCCCCCCCUCUCGUCUGCUAUCACACUGCUGGAAAUCGCCUCCCUUCGAAUGUUGCUCGCCUCUGACACCUCUUGUGGCAGUGGGCUUAUGGCUCGACAAAUCUCCUCCGUAUGUCGAGGCUCCCCAGGUUACACCUACUUUGCUUGACAACCAGCCCAAGGUGAUACCCCUUCCACCUNNNNNNNNNNNNNNNNNNNNNNNNNNNNNNNNNNNNNNNNNNNNNNNNNNNNNNNNNNNNNNNNNNNNNNNNNNNNNNNNNNNNNNNNNNNNNNNNNNNNNNNNNNNNNNNNNNNNNNNNNNNNNNNNNNNNNNNNNNNNNNNNNNNNNNNNNNNNNNNNNNNNNNNNNNNNNNNNNNNNNNNNNNNNNNNNNNNNNNNNNNNNNNNNNNNNNNNNNNNNNNNNNNNNNNNNNNNNNNNNNNNNNNNNNNNNNNNNNNNNNNNNNNNNNNNNNNNNNNNNNNNNNNNNNNNNNNNNNNNNNNNNNNNNNNNNNNNNNNNNNNNNNNNNNNNNNNNNNNNNNNNNNNNNNNNNNNNNNNNNNNNNNNNNNNNNNNNNNNNNNNNNNNNNNNNNNNNNNNNNNNNNNNNNNNNNNNNNNNNNNNNNNNNNNNNNNNNNNNNNNNNNNNNNNNNNNNNNNNNNNNNNNNNNNNNNNNNNNNNNNNNNNNNNNNNNNNNNNNNNNNNNACCCCCCCACCACCACACACACACACACACACCCACACCCACACCCACACCUAGCGGUCCUCCAGGCAUGCACCCUCCCCCGCCAUCCAUCAUGAAGAUUUUGACAUGAAACAUUAGGGGUUUGGGCAAACCCCAGAAACGUAUAAAUGUCCUCAACAAUGUUUCCUUAGACUCUCUUGCCAUCCUGGCUCUAAUAGAAACUAAAUUCCUCGCCACAUGUCUCCCUCCUAUUUGUCGAGUCUGAGGGUCAAGACCUUGCCAUUGGAUGCCCAACGGGCCUUUGGAGGUAUCUAGGUAAUCUAGGAUCCAACCCUCCACAAUAUCACUUCUUCAACCGUAGGUGCCUUCUCAGCCUCCAUCUCCCUUGAGAGAGUGGCCAACGCCUUCCCUUGGAAAUUUACAGCUGUAUAUGGUCUCAAUGCUUCCUCUCUCAGACCCCGUUUCUAGGAGGAAUCGAAUAGGGAUGCUCUAGCUUCCCCCCAUUGUUGGUUUGGUGGGGAUUUCAACAUCACCCAAUGGUCAUUCGAGCGAAACUCCAAUUCCUUCAUAUCCCAAUCAAUGGCGGACUUUUUUUACCUCAUGUUGCGGUUAGAAUUACUCAACGUUCCACUACAAGGGGCCUCUUUUACUUGGUCGGACCAUUCUGCCAACCCCACCCACUCUAAGUUUGAUAGGUACCUCAUUUCCUUGGAUUGGGAUGAUGCCUUCCUAAGGACCCAUUGACUCGCCCUCCCCAAACCCAUAUCCAACCACUGCUCAAUCUUCCUCGACACCUUCCCUGCCCCUCGCACCUCCAAACCUUUCAGGUUUGAGUUGGCUUAACUAGAGGAACAUAAUCUUCCCUACCUCAUUCACUUCUGGUGGACCUCUUUCUCAAACCAAAUCCAUAGUUGGGCAGGGUACCACCUCCAAAGAAAGCUUCAGCAGCUCAAGGGUUCCCUUAAAGCCUGGAGUGCUCAACUUUCGGGCAAUUUUCGCACCCCAAAAGCAUCCCUCCUCCACGAUAUUCAAUAGUGGGAUUCCACUGAGGAGCAUCGCCCUCUCUCUCGGCUGAUGAGAGAAUGGCUCGAUCCCUUGGCAAAGUUUGAGUUCCAACACUUUCUUAGGAAGGAGGAGAUAUAUUGGUCACAGUGUUCCAGAGUUAAAUGGCUUAAACACGGUGAUCUCAGCACUGAAUUUUUCCACAAAAUAGCCAACUAGAUGAGGGACAACAUCAUCACCCAGAUUAAAGUUGGGGAAGUAGUGCUCGACCAGGCACCUCAGGUUGAGAAUGCCAUUAUAGACUACUUUCAUAACCUUUUUGAGGCUUCCCGGGGGAGCUCAAGACCCACCAUGGCAGACCUGAUCGUUCAAACCAUUCCCCCAAACUUGGCAGCUUGGCUAGAACGCUUCUUCGAGGAGGCCGAGAUCCUUAAGGCCAUCUUUGACCUUGGCCAAGAUAGAGCCCCAGGAACUGACGGAUUCACAGUAGUCCUAUUUAAAACCUUUUGGGACUCUUUUAGGGGGGAUUGCUUCGUCUUCUUCCAAGAAUUCCAUGCCAGAGGGAUCAUCCAUCGAGCAACGAAUUCUACUUUCAUCGCACUAUAUCAAUAAAGAUAAAAGAGGCCAAAGAACUCAAAGACUUCAAGCUGAUUAGUCUCAUCAACAGCUCAUACAAAUACUCUCCAAAGUCAUCGCUUCAAGGCUGCAAGAGGUUCUUGGCUGGGUGAUCUCUCACCCAGGGAGUUUUCAUUAAAGAUAGACAAAUCCUCGAUGGCACCUUUGUAGCAAAUGAGGCCAUCCAUUCUAGGCAUCUCGCCAAAUCCCCUGGUCUAAUCAUCAAACUCGACUGAGAGAAACCUACGACCACGUAGACUGGUCCAUCCUAAACGAAACCCUUCUUCGUAUGGGAUUUGGGGCCCGGUGGAGGACCUGGAUUAGAGGCCCUUUCUCCAUUCUGAUCAACAAUUCUCCAAAAGGCUUCUUCCCCUCCUCUAGGGGGCUCCGCCAAGGAGCCCCCUCUCCCCAUUCUUGUUCGCAAUUGAUGCUGAAAUCUUCAGCAAAUUGAUCUCGAGAAUGUACCAAGCCAGCUUGCUCAAAGGUCUCAAAAUCAGCCCUUCAGGUCCACAGAUUUCCCACCUACAAUAUACCGAUGACACCCUGCUAUUUUGCGAAACCUCCACCGAACAGCUAGAGUCCCUCCACCUCGUCCUCAAAAUGUUCGAGAUGGGCAUGGGCCUAAGGGUGAAUAUGGCCCAAUCAAAGCUGCUCGGUGUGGCUAUGGACCCUUCUCUAGUUAGAACUCUAGCCUCUCAAUGGGGUUGCUCUUCCGAUGGGUUGCCUUCCUCUAUUUGGGCCUACCAUUAUGCCUUGGCAAACCUAGACUCAACCUUUGGAGCCACAUUAUAGAUAAAUUCGACUAAAGGUUGGUGGGUUGGAAAGGUAGAUUCCUAUCAUCGGCAGGUCAUCUUACCCUCAUCAAAACCACCCUCUCUAGCAUCCCUAUUUUUCAGAUGUCUAUUCCAUAUGCCGUCCUCGGUGGCCCAACUCGUGAGUAACUUCCUAUGGUUGAGCAAUGGGGGUAAGAAAAUCCAUCUUACUUCAUGGCCUAAUGUCUGCAAACCCAAGUCCCAAGGGUAAGCUUCUUGGUGGCUUCCUUAUACUCAUCCUUAGCCCACCCCCAAACCCUCAACCCCCCAGCCAUUCCCAUUGUGACCGAAGUUGGGCUUCCCUGGUUCCACCAAAAAUCCAGUUUUUCAGCUGAAUUGUUGCUUCCAAGAGAGCCCUCACAAUGGAUCUACUGCAAAGGAGGGGGAUCCAAAUCCCCAACAGGUGCAUCAUGUGUCUCAAAGAAGAGGAAAGCAACACCCACCUCUAUAUCCAUUGCAAGUUGCCUCUUCCCUUUGGGCUGACCUCCUUCAACUCUUCCAUUGGCAGUGGGUAACCCCACCCAAUGUUCCGCAACUCUUUCGCAUAGCCUUCUCCCCUCCUUGGCCGAAGGCUGGUAGACUGCUGUGGAGGGCCUCAGUGGCUGCCACCUUUUGGGUCAUUUGGAAUGAAAUCAGCGCCAGAAUUUUCCGCAUCCAACGGUCUACCAUAGAAGUAUUGACACACAAUGAUUAAAUUCUCAAUCAUCUUCUGGGCCACCCACAGCAACCUUUUCAAAAACCUUUCCCACUCUGACUUUCUCCAUAGCUGGGUUGGGCUACCAUUUUGACCUUUAGACCCCACAGAAUACCUCGUUCAUUGUUUGAAGACCACCUGAUGAAGGCCAAAUCAAAUUAAAUUUCGAUGGGUGCACUUUCAGCAACCCUGACCCAGCAGGUAUAGGAGGGCUAUUUCGCAACAAAGACAACACUACUCUAUUCUCCUUCUCUCUCUCGAUUGGGCAUGGGCAUUCAUAUUCCAUCACCGCAUAAGUAAUAGCCCUUCAGGAAGGACUCAAGAAGUAUGAUCCUUCUUAGCGCCAAUCCCUCAGUAUCAAAGGCGACUCUGUGUUUCUCCUAGGCCCCAGGCUCAGCCUCCUGGCCUUGGAGACUCAAUAAUAAUUUUGAAGAAAUUACAGCUCAAUGGGAUCUCCCAUUUCUCUUGGAGACACAAUUGGAGAGAAGCUAAUGGCGAACCGACACCCUCGCUAAGGCAGCCGCCUCACUUUCCCAAGCAAUUUGCUUACCACGCAAGGAACCGUUUGAGCACACGUUCCCCCAUUCAGCUUUGGUUCUUACUAUUUUUUGUUGUUAAUUUUGAAUAAGGCACCUGCCUGUGGGUAGCCUAUAUUUUUGACUGGAACCCAUUUGAGGGUGGCCAACCCCUUCCUUAUGUUUCUCCCUUCGUACUUAUCUUCAUAGAGUUAACGUAUUCAAAAAAAAAAAAAGACUAAGCAUUUAAUGGAGCGAGCAGUUGACAAUCUAAGGCAUGGUCGCCAAAUCCUCGUCAUAACACAAUAAGGGUUAAAAAAUGCCAUCCAUUAUUAUUACAUACAAGUAUAGAAUAUGACCAUUUACUUUUGGUGCAAAGAGGUUAUAACUACCACUAGCUGUUGGAUGUCAAAUCGGAUGGCAUGGAGACUACCAUUAAUGGGCGCAAAGUCCAAAAGAAAGCUUUUCGAGACCCAUGACAUACCCCUUGCUGUUGAAUUUCACACCUUACAGAAAGGGUUAAUUGUGAUCUCCUCGUAAUAUAGGUAAAUCGUCCUGUAGUAUACAGUCCCUUAUUUUCGAAAAAUAUAUUUUGUGGCAUGUUAGUAAGUUAUACAAGGCAUGCAGUGAAACUCUUAUUGCAUGACCAUUUGAAACCAAGCACCAAACAACAGACGGCCAAGGAACAAAAGAAACUGUUAAUCAGUUCAAAUAAGUAAACGGAGAAAACCUUAC
rnacentral:lncRNA from 1 species